rnacentral:lncRNA from 1 species
AAAAUGCUCCACAACAUUAAUUGUUCAUCUAUGAACUAUAGCAUGCAUUUUAUUUAAAACAAAAGUCCACUCACAACUCUAGGCAUAAGCCCGACGAAAUCCAAAUCGCCACUCCAAUGAGGUUUCCUCGAACCUUGGCACAAAUUUGAAAAUUAAUUCCCAACUAAAACUCCAAUAUUUAAACAAAAUAGGCAAAAUUAACCGAGAGCCAUAGCUACGCUCAUCAUUUCCUAACUUCGAUAUUCUGAAAUCGAAACGAUCCGAACUUAAAUAUCAUACUCGGCAGCCGUAAUUACAACCUCCCCAAAAAUACGACUUAAAUCCUACGGCCGGAUUCUACAUUAAUUAACCGCCAAAAAUACCACACUUCGGAAAUUCAUAAACCUAUCCAAAACUCAUCCAAAAAUUCCAUAACUCACUUCAACAAACUCCCCUUAAUAUUCUAAAUUUAAAACCCUAAAAAUCUUCCAAACAGUGGCGGCGCCGGCGCCGGCCGGAGGCCGAUUCCGGCGACCUCCAAAUCCUACCAAAUUUUAACAGUAGCUUCCUCUCCACUCCCUCUACAACUUUCCUAACUAGCACAAACCCAAAAUCCAAGCCUAACUAGGUCAAACGAGCAAAAACAUCUAAAACACCAUAGAACUUCCACCUAUAAUUUCUCCUUACCUGAAGCGAACCGGAGUGAGCCCUUUUAGGGCAAGGCAGCUGGGUUAGAGACCUUCAAAACCGUACCAAGCUUGCCCGGAUUGGUGGUCGGAGGAGGGAGUUCCGGCGAAUGAGGACUUUGGGCAGCCCAAGGUUCUAGGCGGGAGAACUCCUUCAUGGCGGCACUAGGGCAGCCUUCACCGGCCUAGAAUGGAAGCUGGGUCGGAGGGCAACCGAACGGGACCGGAGCGGCGGCCUACGGUGGCCGGACGGCGGCGAGCUGAGCGGAGGAAACCGGCGGGGGAGAGAGAGCUCGGGAGGGAGAGAGAGAAGAGAGAAAGAAAAGAGAGAAGAAGAAGAAAUAGGCAUGGGCCUCCUACCCGGUCCAAGUCCUAUAUACAACCCAAUUCCAAAAAUAAAACACCCCGAAAAAAUAAUACCCGAAUAAAAAUUACCUUUUACUAGCUAAAAUUUACCAUUUUUACCGUCGUCAUAUUUUUCUCCUACGAAUAAUUCCCCGAAAUUAAUCGUCCCUCAAAACACCUCUAAGGACCGAUUAAACUAUUACCUCAAUGACGGAGACGGUAAAAUUCUUAUUCUAACCAAGCUAGUAAAUAAGGUAAAAAUUGAAGGGUCGGGAUGUGACACAGUAAAACUAAAAUCCUAAAGUGAUAACAACUUCUGAUUAAAAGCAUAUACUCACUUUGAAUAACAAUCAAUCAACUAAUCAGAACAUGCAUAAAAAGAUCAACUAAAUUGAAAAGAGAAGUUCAUAUCUUAAUCCUUCCUAAUUCCCAUCUAUUUCUAAAACAUUGAUUCUCUCUAUUCUCUCUAAGUAGGAAAGACUUCUGAAAACCUAAAAAAUCUACAGAAUUCAGUCCUAUUUAUAGUGUCUGGAAAAGGGGUAGAACUUGGCGUCCAAGACAAGAACAAAUGAAGCAAAAUUGAAUUGGUCAACCGAAAUCUUACCCGUUUAGGUUUCUAGCUUUGGGGAGUCACCCGAUGAGAAACUUGUUCUCCACCAUCUUGACACCUCUUGCUUAACAAGGUCGGUUCCUAUAGUUUAUCCUUUAUGUAGGAUGGUUUUGGGUUUUCCUAAGGCGGUUUGAAUACGGUUUCGGAUUGGGAAGCAUCGCAUUUGGUAGAGAGGAAGACGAUGAAGGAGAAAGAGUUCUGAGUUUGAAUGUCCAUCGUUUUGCGACAAAUUUCCAAGUGUUUUAACUUUGGGCUUAGGUUUUAGGUUAAACGGGUAUUAGGUCUUGGACUAAAAACCCUACUACUUAAAUCCAAUAACAACAAAUAGAAAAGAAACUAUAUACUAUAUUAAUUUUCAGCAUAUAUAACAGUAAAUGUGUGUGUGUGUGUGUAUAUAUAUAUAUAUAUAUAUAUAUAUAUAUAUAUAUAUAUUUCACUAUUCACGUGAACAGUGAAGCGACCAUUAUACCCCUGCAUUUAUUCUCUUUUUACGUUUGUGCCAUUCUAACUUAUAUUGACUGAUUUGCCCUUAACUAGCAGAAUGACGCUGCUGCCCCUACUUUCAAUUUAUUUACCAUGCUGCCAUUAGUCUGAUUGUAAAGACGUUUAUACCCCUAUUUUAAUUUUAUUUACCAUGCUGCCAUUAUAUGUCAUAAAAAGACAGUAGUGCCCCUGUCUGCAUUUUAUUUUAUUUUAUUUAAAAAAAAAUAUUCAUGGUGUUUCCAGUUAUGACCCGUGUUAGGAUUGAUAUCGAAACAUCUCCUCAGUAUCGGUGGGUGACAUCUAUUUCUUUCUAGCAAGCAGCAUGGCACGGGCGAUUGCAACUUGAACAGUGACCUACCGAAUUUAUCCCCGUUUUUUUUAAGCUAUUUUAGUUUUGCCACUCCCUCAAUUUUUUCUUUGAUUUGAGUUUUGCCCCUCCAUUUUUUCUUUUAUUUCAGUUCUGUCUUUCACCCCUCAGUUUUCUAUUUAAGAUUUGCCCCUUCAUUCUUCCUUUUAUUUCAGUUUUGGCCCUCAGUUUUUGGCUUUCUUUCUGUUUUCCUACUCAGUUUUUUUGGUUAAUGCUAUAUUUUUUUUUUGAUCAAAUGCACAAUUAAUGUACUACACUGUUGUGUGUCGAACUCACGACCUCUCACUUAUAAGGAGAGACUUAUGCCACUAUACCAAACGGUACUGGGAAAUGCUAUACAUUUUACAAAAAAAGAAAAUUGCAUUACUAAAAAAAAAACAACAAUAAUAAUGAUAAUAAUAUUAAUGAGAGAAAAUUAAAUUUUUUAUGUUGAUCAAUGUCAAUUGCGUUUUAAAAUCAAUCUUUUGGUAUUGAUGAGGCUGAUGGCACAGAGUUGAUAUUAGGACUUCAUUAAUGUUGAACAUGUAAAUGUUCACAAUAAAUUCCCUUUUGAUCAAAUUUAUGGAUUCAACUUACAUAUUUAAAAACAAUGUCAUGUUCUUAUGUUUCUUAACUUUUGUAUUGUCUGAUGUUCAACUUAUGACAUGUAUUGAUAAGUGGUCAUUAUAUAUUUGCAAUUCUACAAAUCUUGGUUGUUGAUUUUUGUUCAGCUUUCUUUCAAAAUGACACGUAGAUUUCAGGGAGCUGUUGUUUGUGAGUUUCGAACAACAAAUGAUCAAAUUAAGAAACAUUGCACAAUAAUUAUCAAACUGGCAGAAAUCGCACUCCCGCAUGCGCGCGAGCGCGUGUAGGAAGGCUAAUAUAUAUACACACACACACAAACUAAAACAUUGAAACAUGAAUAUAAAUACAUGUAAAACAAAUAAAUAGAUAUAUACACAUUAAAAAUUUGAAAGACCUUAAAUCUAAAAAUUGUGGCUUUUACUUGAAUUAAGCCAGUCUUUCAAGUAGCAAAGACAAAGUUAAAUUUCAAUCUCUAACAAGUAGUAAAGUCUCAAUUGAAAACAUUGAAGAAGAGAAAUUAACAAUAAGAAAGAAAGUCAUCUACUAACUAGUAGAUUCUAAGUAUAUAUUUUGACCAGAAAGUUAGCAACACAUUGAAUCAAUUCAAAGCUAAAGAUCAAAGUUGUGAAAAGAAACAUGUGCAUGUCAGAAAGUCAUAACAAGAGUACCAUAGAACUCAUGAAAAGUAAAUAAACAUAUUCAUGCUGCCCUAUAAAUAAAAUAAAAUGAAAUUUAUACAGUGGAACAACUAUACUAAUCUUAUUGUUUUUGUGAUUUAAGACAUGCUUACCUUUUUGGAAUCAAUAGACAUGUACAACAUCCAAAGUUGACAAUCUAUUGCACAUUAUCAAUCAAAAGUCCAAAUAUGAAAUAUAUAAAUGAUAUAUGUAAGAAACUUAUAGACCAUGCAAUGCUUAUAUUUUAUAGUGGUUGCUGGGAUAGGGUUGUGUUUUGCAAUGACGAUCAGACUGGUUGAUGGCUGGAAAACACUAUCUACGUCAUCAAGAUCCUUGUUGGCGACUCUCAUCGUCGGAUGGAUGGAGGAUGGUGUAUGAGGGCCUAUGAGGGGAUGUGCCUAUGAGUUUGGGCCUCUAAGCUUUGUCUCUGGGUGUUAAUAUUAGAUUAGUGCCAUUGGGUUCAUUACAAAUGAGUUGGGGAUUACUAUUACAGAAACGAAAAAGGCUAUUUUCAAGUGACUUGUCAUCCAGAGAAAAUAUUCUAUGAUCCCAACCCGUGAUACAGAUGGUAUUUCAAGCCAACUAAAAUACAAUUAUCCAUAUAUACAUCAUUUCAAUCGUAUAAAGACAAAACCGAAUAAAUUUUCAUUUCAUAUCUUCUUUUAAGUUAAUAAACGUAGGAGCUAAGUAGUAGGAUACUAGGAUGCCCGCAGUUGUUCAAAAUGUGUAAUCGUGAUGUUCAAACUUCCUAUUGCGAGACUAUAAUUGGGUCGCUGAAAAAGUGUCAUCUCUAUGUUUUGAAACGAUUCAAUUUGCAGUAGUGGUGAUUAUGUGUCACACUAUAGUUGUUUCCUCUUUUGGAGGGUUUGCACCUUGACUGGUUGAUAGUUAGGCCGCUUUUGUUGUAUUUUUUUAGUCUUUUGUUGUUUUGUCAGCCCAUUGUUUAUUGUUGUUUGUAACAUUGUGUUUGCUUAGUAAAUUCUAUUUCACCGCUAAAAAAAAAACAAAGACACUUGUGACAACCAUUAAUAUUGGAUGGAUAUAUAUUAUUUCCAUUCAACUCUUGUCUAUCUUCAUUUCAACACCAUGUGACUUAUUUUUCUUUUCCCUUUGGUAUGUGCAUAUAUAAACAGAAUGUGCCAAAUUAAUUUUUUUUACUGCUUGCCAACUAGAUUAGUGGUUGUAAGUAGACAAUUUGGUGUAAGUGUCUUCUAGCAAUUGGAAUAUCAAUGAAAAGAUCUAUUUGACUGAAAAAACAAAUUGAGUUUGAAGAAACUAACAUGUUUCAAUGUACGAUGCCCAAAGUUGUAUGAAUCAUUCAUCCUGCCAAUUAGCCGAAGAUGAGUUACAAAGUAAGGUGGUGUUCGAUAACAUAUAUAAUCAUGCUUAUAUUUUCAUUUUUGAAAAUGUAAAUGUGAGAAAAAUAUGUUCGGUGAGACAUUUCUCAAAACGUCAAAAAUAAGGAAAUAUUUUCAACUUUUUCAAAGAAAAACUAAACACAUCAAUUUGACGUGUUCACUUUUUCAUUCUUCUAGUUUGUAAAAUAUAUGAGGUGAGGAUUACCCCAUGCUUUAGUCGGGUUAGGUUGACUCCACUUAUACAACUCUAUAAGUCGUAGCUAUAUCUAGAGGUCAUAUCUAAUUGAGAUGAAAGAAGGUAAUAAGAAUGUAGACAAUAAGUUCCUAUCUAUAUUUUGGCCGAAUGCUUGUCUCGGCUAUAUAUGAUUGUCUCUUAUUAUUACUUGUACUCAAGUGAGCUGUGCUUUUUAUGGGUGCUUUUGAAUGUGAGCAUACAUCUAUACAGUGAUUAGAAAGAUUGGUGAUUGAUUUUUGAAUGACUGAGCAUGCAUUCAUAUGUUAUGUGUGAGCUUAGCAAUUGUUUCUUGUUACUAAAGUUACAUCUUCUAUUUUGAAUUCUUGAUGCAGAACUAGCUAGUACUGGGGAGAAAGAGUGGUACUUUUACUGCCCAAGGGAUCAAAAAUACCUCAACAGUGCAAGGCCUAACCGAGUCACAUGUAGGAGCUGGGUUUUGGAAAGCAACAGGAACAAACAGGUCUAUUUAUUCAUCUGAAGGGUUCAAGUGCAUAGGCCUUAAAAAGUUCCUUGUGUUCUACAGAGGCAUAGCUGCUAAAGGAAUCAAAACCGAUUGGAUGAUGCACAAAGCGUAGACUCAUCAUCACCACCCAAGAAUUUGUUACAUAAAAGCCUUCCUCCAAAUGUAAGUAGUACUAGUGUUUCCCAUUUGUAGUUUUCACUUGAAUUUUCGGUCUCUAAUUAGAUAUGUCAUGUUGUACAGGAUGCAUGGGCUAUUUUGCAGGAUUUUCAUGAAAACGAACUCAAUGGCACAGAGAGCACUAACUCAAUGUUGGCUAUCUCCCUUGCUUGAACCUACAUCAUCCGGUUUCCUAACUCAAUGCCCUCAGUUCAGUUUUGAAAUCAACAUAUUCUGCACCACUGACAUAGGAUUAGCCAUCCAGUUUUGGAGUAACAACAGUAACUUACAACAUCAACAAGCUUCAACUUACUCAGUUUUUGACGCUCUCGAUCUCUUAUAAACCCAACUUCAAUCCUGCAUUAUUAGUUGGAGACAACAUUCCCAAAUGGCUUCAUGUUCACUCCGAUUGAAAUGUCAUCACCACCCAAUUUCAACCAUGCCUUGGUUGGUGACAUGAGCAAUCCCAUUACUUCAUUAGCCACUAAAAUAUUGUCAGUAAUCAAACCUCCUGGUACAAAUGCACUUUGGAACUGUGAGAUCACCAUUAGAAGAAUAGAUGUCAAUUUGUUUGCAAUAAACUUAGAACAAAUCUUAUAAACCACAUUACAAAGAGCAAUUGGUUGAAGGCUCAGACAUGCAUUCAGGAUUAUGAACUUUCAGAGUAAGGCAUAUAUGUGUCACUAUUGGUAAAUAGCACUUAGGCGACGAAAUUAAAAAAUUCCGUCUCCUAAGUGGUUCUUAAGCGACGAAAUUUUCUACUUAGGCGACAAAACAGUUUCCGUCUCCUAAGUUGUUCUUAGGAGACGAAAUAUUUCAAUUUUGUCUCCUAAGAACGACUUAGGAGACGGAAAUUCAUUCCGUCGCUUAAGUACUACUUAGGAUACGAAAUAUUUUUACUUAGACGACGGCAUUUUGAAAAAAUAAAAUUAGAAAAUUUAUAUGAAUCACUUAGGAGACGGAACUACAUUCCGUAGCCUAAGUAGAACUUAGGAGACGGAAAUGUUUACUUAGAAGACGGAAUGUUUUUUUAAUAAAAAAAUAAAUUAUGAAUCACUUAGACGACGGAAUGACAUUCCGUCGCUUAAGUUCUAAAAAUUUAAGCGCCCAUCUUCUCGCGUAAAAUUUAAUGAAAAUUCAAACCAAAAUUUUUCAAAACAUAUCAAUUCUUUUAAAUCACACACUCACCAACCUUAUCAAUAGAAGGAAACCCAUCUUUUCCCAGAGCUCUCUCUCUCUCUCUCUCUCUCUCUCUCUCUCUCUCUCUCUCCAGACUAUCACUCUCAUGCCGGCCUCUCUCUCCAUUCUCACCGCUCCUUCCUCCGUUGCCACCUUCAACUGCACCACCCCCACCAAUGCCAAUUCCAACUGCCACAAGCUCAUCGACUUCGUCCUCACAAAUGCCACCACUCUCAACGCUGUCAAGACCCUCUUCAACAUCACCCGGCCACCUCCGCACCCUCCUUGGAGCAAACAACCUCCCCCUCUCGACCCGACCCGACUCACCCGUCCCCGCCGCUAGCAAGCUCCUCGUCCCUUUCUUUUGCACCAAGCCUCAGAUCUUGGUCACCACAAACGCCGCUGCCACCACCUUUCUCUCUCUAACAAGCCUUCCCGUCGACCCACCACCGUCCCUCGAAAUUUCAAAGGGGUAAGAAAUCAAUGUAAGUUCUUCAAUUUUUCUGGUUUAAUUAGCUUUGGUGAUAGAUUUAUGUGUUUUUGUUUAAUUUGAUUUUGAUUUUAAUUUUGGUUAGGAUGUGAUUGGUAUGAUGGUGGUGGCAUGGUGGUUAUUUGGUAUGGUGGUGGUGGUGGUGGUGGUAUAUUUGAGACAGAUUGUUGGCAUGAAAUUGAAAGGGAGAUAUUGUAUUGAAGUUUACUGACCCCCAAUAGAAGUUUACUGGGGGGCAGUAAACUUUCACUGGGUUUAUUAAGGGGCAAUGAAUGUGUUUAUUAGGGUAAAAAUAUGUAUCUGUUGUGUAUAAUUGGCAUGAAAUUGAAAGGGAGAUACUGUAUUGAAGUUUACUGACCCCCAGUAGAAGUUUACUAGCCCCAGUAGAAGUUUACUAGGGGGUAGUAAACUUCCACUGAGUUUACUAGGGGGCAAUGAAUUUAUUUAUUAGGGUAUGAAUGGGUAUCUGUUGUGUAUAAUUGACAUGAAAUUGAAAGGGAGAUACUGUAUUGAAGUUUACUGACCCCCAAUAGAAGUUUACUAGGGGGAAGUAAACUUCCACUGGUUUUACUAGGGGGCAAUGAAUUUGUUUAUUAGGGUAAGAAUGUGUAUCUGAUGUGUAUAAUUGGCAUGAAAUUGAAAGGGAGAUAAUGUAUUGAAUUUUACUGACCCCCAGUAGUAUUACUGACCCCCAGUAGAAGUUUACUGGGGGCAGUAAACUUCUUCUGGGUUCACUAGGGGCCAAUAAAGUUGUUUAUUAAGGUAAGAAUUGGUAUCUGUUGUGUGUUGUGCCCCUGAAAUUGAAACGGAGUUAUUUUUUGCAAGUUUACUGAUCCCCAGUAGAAGUUUACUAGGGGCAGUAAAUUUUAUUUUUUCCAUAUGCAGUUUAUAAAUGCAAGUUUUUACUACUUAUAUGCAGGAUGGAAAGAAGUUCAAGACAUUUAGUUGUGACUUCUGAAACCUGCGGUGGUGGUGGUGGUGGUGGUAUUUAGGGCGGUCGGAGUGAGUGGAUAAAAAACCUGCGGUGGCGUUUUAAUUUUUUUUAGCCUUUAGCGACGGAAUUCAACUAUUCCGUCUCUGAAGUGGAUAAUUUUUUUUUUAUAAAAUAAAAUUUGUCGCCUAAGUGCUUAGGAGACGAAAGUAUUCCGUUUCCUAAGAACUACUUAGGUGACGAAAUUUUAGGUUCCGUUGCCAAAGUGUCUACCUCACCAUAUUUAGGUGACGGAUCUUAGCUGACGGACAUUCCGUCUCCUAAGUACUUAGGAGACGAAAUUUGUCACUUAGGAGACGAAAUAAUUCCGUCUCCUAAGUUCUUUUUUUCAGUAGUGUGUAUAAUUGAUCUCUUUUAGCAUAUGUCCAGUUUCAAGGAUAUUUUGGACCGUUUCAAUCUUUGGUUAGAUAUAUUUUGAAUAGAGCUACACGAACUUCCUCCCGUGACACAAGGAGUAACAGCCUUCAAAACCAAAUUCACUGCAUUCCAAUCUACUUUUGACACUUGUAACAUCUUAGAAAAGUAUGAAGUUACCACUUUCUCAAUCCUAACAUCAUCUUUUCUCCAUUGACCAGUUUCAUCAAAAAGAUCCAAGCAGAUUAAUUUUUCGUCUCCUUUUUACUAUCUUUCUGUGAAAGUAACAUGUGUUUCUAUCACCCUCUCAAAGCCAUGUUACUUUCGACCGUUGUCUCCAGAAGAGUUCCUCCUGAUGUAGCAAAAGUUAGAGUUUGUCCAUCAGAACCCUUUCUUUGUUUGAGUUACCACAGAGCACGUCACAUUGAAUAAUUCUUCUAGUCGGGCCAUCAUCUGCAAGUGCCUACCUCUAAAUGUAUGUUUCUGCCAUCGGUCCAGCUUGAUACGAGUGUAGGCCAGUUUCUUUGUUACACAAAAUAUUGGCACCCCUCCCACAUUAGUAUUCCAUGCCUCUCUAACAAUCUUAUCGCAUUCAGGGUGUUAAAGCCAAAAGUCCUCAAACUUGAAAGUAUGUGUAAAUUUGUGUGUUAUAAUGGCAGUGCUAGCUCUUAGCAAAAUUGGUAUGUGAUAAGAGUCUGAUGGGGGAAGGUGAAUCACCUUGGCUUGACAUAAUAUAUCAAACCAUGUAGGUGUACAUACAGCUCUAUCAAGACGGAGGAGAGUCUUCGAGUUUGACCAGGUAACCAUAUUGCUAUGAAAUCCCAAAUCGAAUAGGUCGUAGCAGUCCAUCGCCUCUCGGAAUCCUCGCAUUUGUUUCUCUGCAUGCACAUGACCCCUAAUCUUCUCUCUACUACUCAGAAUUUCGUAAAUCUAAAUCACUCAGAUCAUGCAACGGCUUCGAUGAAUUGAUCCCUGUCCUCCAUACGGGCAAAAAAAAAACCACUACAACAUCAAUGUGGUGGUCAAAUUUGGUACCAAUAUGUAGCACAUCGUCGUCAGAAAACCAAGUGAGAAAUACUUGCACACUCAUCAGAAACUCGAGAUAUUUUAAACCACAAAGUCCCUAAAAAAAUAAAAAGAGACAAUUUACUAAUAGAAAAAUAAGAAGAUAAACUCGUAUAUAAUUGGAAAAAUCUAGUUUAGAUAAAACCACAUCUAGAGGGAGUAUGAGCGAAUGUUGAGAGCUCAAAGCGAAAAUAAGUGAAAGUGAGACAAAACCAAAGAUAUCAAUACAUUAUCUUCACAGAGUCUAAAAGAGAAGCAAACAACAGUAAGACAAUGAUAAGUAACAGCACGACACUUCUAGAUGUUCUUAUUCACAUAAGAGUUCUCUAUCCAUCUAAAAUACUGCUCUGAAUAAAGUAGUUAAUUGCUACAUCAUAGUAUGUCUUCAGGGAUCAGACUUGCCAUACAAAGUAGGGACAUUCAACUGACAAGUGGUCGAACUUCACAAAGUUAAGGCUCAUCAUCUGAUUCAGACUCUUCUUCAUCUGAAUCUGAGUCUUCUUCAACUUCAUCACGGGGCAUCAUUAUUUUCGCCCAAUUUAAACACGUUUUCCAUGCAAAUCCUUUCCACCUUCCAUCGGGGUGGCCAUGAUCCGACUUAAGGCAGUGAUGGCAACAUAUUUCAUAGCCCUGGCCAACAAGUACUAGUGCCUUCUCGGGGUUUGAAAUAUCAUCCAAGUAGGGACAUUGAAAUGACAUUAGGUCAUCGAUCUUCAUACAAACUUCACAACAUUGAGGCUUUUCAUCUUCUUCAUCAGGCUUACCUGUUUGAUUUUCUGGUGCCAAUGUUGAUAAAAAAUUUGUUAGACAAGAAGCAGCAAAACUUGAACUGUAUGGAGUCAUAAAAGUUAUAAAUACUCUAGCAAUGAAUUCUAAUUCCAGUGAACCUAAUUAAUAUAACACAAGGCCCCUAUUACAUUUUCUUACCAAAAAUUUGAAGUUCAAGCUUUUAAGUCAUCAACCAUUUUUCUACAAACAACACAUUUCCAAUACAGUUGAUACACAAAGCUUAUAUAGUAUCAUUUGCAGAAAACUAAGAAAACAAACUUGUAACAGCAAAUACUUUGGCAAUGAGUUCCAGCCAAUGAACCUAAUGAAAAAAACAAAAGGCCCCUAUUACAUUUUCUUACCGAAAAAUUCAAUUUUAAGCUUUUAAGUCAACAAUCAUUUUUCUACAAAUGACAUUUUUUCAAUGCAGUUAAUACACAAUUUAUAUGAUAGCACUUUUGGGAAACUAAUAAAACAAACUUGUAACAAGAAUUUUAACCGGAUUGUAUAAUUUGUUUUUAUUUUUUAUUUUUAUUUUAAAAACCACCAAUCCAGAGCACAUCAAACAAAUAAACAACGAAAAACAUAUGAGAUUCAAGCUUAGAUUCAGACAACAAAAUAAGGAUCAAAAGCAUACUUUCAGCUAUCUUCAGUUUCCUAAGCUCUUUAGCUUCCUUCAACUUAAGCUCUUUAGCUGCCUUGGCUUCUAUAAUUUCCUUGCAUUUCUGUUCAAAUUCCUCAUUAGAAAGAAACACCUUCUCUAAGAAUUCCUCGAAAGGCAAUACAAAUAACUCUUCCUUAACUUUCCACACAUCUAACAGUUCCCUUGUGGAUCGAGCUUCACUUUCAAUCAAUUUUUUGUUAGGAUCGGCACCUGUCUGAAGAGAAGGAAACAUCAUGUCACAGCCAAAAUACAUGAUAGAAAUUUCGUACCCUAAACAUUACCAACCAAACUGAAACCCUAAAACAAAUAUAUAUUUAUAUACGACAUACCCUCCAUCUUUGCAAAUAUGUCUUGUAAUUCUUGUUCCGAAAUCUCAGAUUUCCUAGAUGACUCAUAGAGAAGCUGUUUGAUUUCUCUUUUCGAAAGCUCUCGCUUCUCAGAGGAAUCAAUUGUUGAAGUUAAUGCUUUCCUUAGUCAACAUACUAGGAAGCAGCAGGAAAUACUUAGCUGCAGGGAAGCUGAAGUCCUUACUGCAGUGAGAUAUUUCUCCCACUUGGUUUACUGUUUCUCUUCCAUUUAAUCUAGAUAUUUUGUUGUAUGUAAAGUACAAUUAUAAUCUAGUUAAUUAGGUGUUUCUAAGAUAUUUUGUAGGUUACUUUGCACCCUAUAUAAGGGCUAUGUUUGCUGUGUAAUCUCUAAGAAUUCUAGAAGUAAGAAAUAGAAGCUGCAAAGUUUUGCUUCAACUUCAUCUGUGUUUUCUUCUGCCUCAUUUGCUAUAGUAAAUUGAUCUUGAUCAUAUUUUGUUCAAAAUACAAAGUAGAGGCUCAAAUUCUAACAUGGUAUCAGAGCCUUGUUGAUCAAUAUCAACUGGGGUGUACCAUAUGUUGAUAAAAAAAAAAACAAACACUUUUCUUUAGUUUUCUGCUACUACAAUGACUACAGCAGAAAAUGGUUCAGAAGUAAGAGUUCCUAUCUUCUUAGGAGAGAACUUUGAUUUUUGGAUUAUUAAGAUGGAAACCAUGUUCAUAUCACGUGAUCUCUUGAGCUAUGUGAAUGAAGGCUAUGUAGUUCCAGCAGCUGAAGGGAUGACAAAUGCUCAAAGAACUGAGCUGAGGGAAAAUAUCAAGAAAGAUGCAAAAGCUCUUGGUAUUUUGCAAACCGCAGUCACAGAUGCUAUCUUUUCAAGAAUUGCAAAUGAGAGAACAACCAAAGGAGCUUGGGAUGUUCUGAAGGUGGAGUUCAAAGGCUCAGAUAAGGUGACAGCUGUUAAAGUUCAAUCCUUAAGGAGAGAUUUUGAAUAUUCUAGAAUGAAUGAAACUGAGCUGCUAAAUGAUUAUUGUACUAGAUUGAUUGAUUUAGUUAAACAGAUGAAAACCUAUGCUGAACCUAUACCUGAAAAGAGAGUAGUACAAAAGAUCCUUAUGAGUUUGGAUAGGAAGUAUGAUGCUAUAGCAAGUAUUAUAGAUGAGACUAGGGAUAUAGACACUCUUGGUGUGUAGGGUUUAAUGGGGACACUUAAGGCUUUUGAUUAGAGGUUGAUGAGUCCUGAUGAACCAACAGAAAAAGCCUUUCAAACACUAAGCCUAAACACAAAUAGUGAGCCAUCUAGUUCAAAUUCCAAAAAGAAAAAGAAUUGGAAAGGCAAAGGCAAGAAGUGGGAGGGUAGAUCAGGUCAGUCAGGAAAAAGAAAAAAUGAAGGAGGCAGUAGUUCAAAUUAUUCAAUGUGUUCAAUCUAUGAUAAGAUGCAUAUAGGUGAAUGUUGGUUUAAGGGGAAACAAAAAUGUUCAAUUUGUAACAAGUUCGGUCAUGUCAAGAAGGAUUGUGACUACAAGGGAAAUCAACUGGCUAGCUGCAGUGAAGAACAAAGUGAUGCUAGUAUGUUCUGUGUCACUUAUGCUGCAACCACUGCAGUAAAUGAGAAUGUGUGGCUUGUUGAUAGUGCUUGCAGUAAUCAUAUGACUGCAAAUGCCAACCUUCUCUAUGACAUUGACUACAACAUCAUUACAAAGGUGAAGAUGGCAAAUGGAAUGUUGGUGGAUACAAAAGGCAAAGGAAGUGUUGCUGUUGAAACCAAAAAUGGAAAAAUGUUCAUCAGAGAUGCUUGUUCUAAAUCUUGAUUCGAAUUUUCUAAGUGUUGGCCAACUCGUUGAGCAUAAAUAUCACCUGCAUUUUGGUGAUGACACUUGCAAAAUCUUUGAGAGAGGGAGUAGCAAGAAGCUGAUGGUGGAAGUUGAAAUGAAGAGGAAUAGAAGUUUUCCUCUGACUCUCAAGUGUGCAACUGAGAGUGCAAGAAAAAUGGAGCUGCAGGAAGAUCCUUGGCUCUGGCAUCGAGGCUUGGACAUUUGAAUUUUCAAAGUCUGAAGCUGCUGCAUCAGAAUGAAAUGGUGCAGGGAUUGCCAAAAAUUAAAGAAGUUACUGAAGUGUGUGAAGGAUGUGCACUUGGAAAGCAGCAUAUUAUCUCAUUUCCAAAAGGGAAGGCAUGGAGAGCAAAAACACCACUAGAGUUGAUCCAUUCUGAUGUCUGUGGUCCUAUGAAAACAAUUACUGGGGGAGGUAACAUAUAUUUUCUUACAUUCAUUGAUGAUUAUUCAAGAAUGACUUGGGUUUAUUUCCUGAGGCAAAAAUCUGAUGUGUUCAUUGUGUUCAAGAAGUUUCAAGCUAUGGUAGAGAGACAAUUUGAUCUCAAAAUCAAGAAGCUUAGAUCAGAUAGAGGUGGUGAAUACACGUCAAAUGAGUUUGGAGAUUUUUGUGCAGAUAUUGGUUUGGAGAGGCAGCUUACAGUAAGCAACACACCGCAGCAAAAUGAGGUAGCUAAAAGGAGAAAUAGAACAAUUGUCGAAAUGUCAAAGUCUAUGCUGCAUGUCAAGAAAGUGCCUCUAGAAUACUGGGGAGAAGUAGUUAAUACUGAAGUGUAUUUGAUGAACAGACAUCCAACUACUGCAGUGCAAGGAAUGACACCAUUUGAAGCAUGGAGUGGAAGGAAACCAAGUGUUAAUCACUUGAGGGUGUUUGGUUCAAUCUGCUAUGCACAUAUCCCAAAAGUGUUGAGGAAGAAGCUUGAUGAAUCAAGUGAGAAGUCUGUGUUCAUGGGAUACAACUUGCACACAAAGGGCUACAGGCUCUAUAAUCUAAAAAAGAAGAAAAUUGUUAUUUGCAAAGAUGUUCUCUUUAGUGAGAAUUCAUCUUGGGAUUGGAAUCAAGGUUCAGUCCUGCAACAAUGUGUGCCAGAUAAUGCUGUUCAAGAUGAAGAUGAUCCAGAAGAGUUGGAACUUAAUCCACCGCAACAAACUCCUCCUCACAGUUCUGAACAACCCUCACCAGCACAUUCAAAUGCUCAAUCUACACCAAGCUCAACACCAAUAAGGAUGAGAAGCUUGAAUGAAGUGUAUGAAAGUUGCAAUGCAUUCUUGUUUGAGCCUGAAAGAUUUGAAGAAGAUGACUGGCGGACUGCGAUGAAAGAGGAAAUUGAUGUGAUUGUGAAAAACAACACAUGGGAGCUUGUUGAUAAACCAGACAACAAGGAUGUCAUUUUUUUAAAGUGGAUUUACAAAACCAAGCUAAAUGCGGAUGGUUAUGUGCAAAGAAAUAAAGCAAGAUUGGUGGCAAAAGCGUAUUCACAGAUACCUGGAGUUGAUUUCAAUGAAACUUUUGCACCAGUUGCAAGGCAUGAGACAAUCAGAGGUUUGAUUUCCAUUACAGCACAAAAAGGCUGGUUCUUGCACCAGCUAGAUGUCAAAUCGGCGUUUCUAAAUAGAGUGCUAAAAGAAGAAGUAUUUGUGGAGCAACCACAAGGUUUCAUCAUCAAGGGUAAAGAGCAGAAAGUUUAUAAGUUGAAGAAGGCUCUUUAUGGUUUGAAACAAGCCCCAAGAGCUUGGUACGAUGAGAUCAAUUCCUAUGUCACAGAAAGAGGGUUUCAAAGGAGUGAAAAUGAACCUGCUCUCUACACCAAAACUGAAGGUAAAUCAAGCAUACUUAUUGUCUCCUUAUAUGUUGAUGAUUUGGUAUUUACUGGAAGUUGUGAAAAGAUGAUUUCAAAUUUCAAGUCUGAUAUGAUGAGGAAAUAUGAAAUGAGUGAUUUGGGAAUCUUGCAUUAUUUUCUGGGAAUUGAAAUUGUUCAAGCAGUGAAGGGAAUCUUCAUUACUCAGAAGAAAUAUGCAAAGACAAUUCUAGAGAAGUUCAAAAUGCUAGGUUGCAAUGUUGUUGCAACACCUCUAGUUGUCAAUGAAAAAUUUUCAAAAGAAGAUGGAAGUGGUAAAGCUGAUGAGAGUUUAUACAGAAGUUUAGUGGGAAGUUUGCUUUACUUGACAGCAACAAGACCUGAUAUCAUGUAUGCUGCAAGUUUGAUGCCCAGAUUUAUGCACAAUCCUACCAAGAUUCACUAUGGAGCUGCAAGGAGAAUCCUUAGAUACAUUCAAGGUACAAUGGACUUUGGAAUACUGUAUGAGAGGAAUGUGGAACCAAAACUCUUUGGCUUUUGUGAUAGUGAUUGUGUCACACCCCGGUUCUUAAGUUAUUUUACGGUUAUUUACUUUGGUAUUAUUUUAGUCUUUUACCGUGUUGAAUAACCGUUUACUACCUAAGGACCCAAAAGUUGACUUUCUUUUCCGUUUAGAAUUUGGAGAAACUUUCUUCAUGAAAGUUGUAGAGGACGUUAAUACGAGUUCGUAGACAUGCUAUGUGUUAAAAUCGGAGUUAGCAUGAAAAAGUUAUUAUCUAAAAGAGUGAAUUUUGAGGUGGUAAAAAGAGGUAUUUUUUUUAGUGGGUAAAAUUUGUUGGGUUUAAGGGUUAUGGACCGGGUGUGAGCAGCCCAUAUCCUCCUUCACUCUCUCUCUUUCUCCCUUCCCUCUUUUCCCCGAGCUCCCUGAGCCCCUCUCCGCCGGAAGCUCCCAGCCACUAGCUGCCGCCGUCCGGCCGCUGCUCCAGCCCAGUUCGGACCCCCAUCUCUUCCUCUCCCUCCCUGGCCUAGCCACCGAGCCUCUAACCCGCCGGAGACACCGGGAAGCAUUUCGCCGGAAAUCCCAUUUCCGGCCACCAAAACUCGCAAUUCUUAGCUCAUUUUGUAGCUCUCAUCAAGGUGAGUAUCCCCUCAAAAGGAAUAAGUCUAUCUCGUUGUGGUUAUGGAGAAAUGUAUAAUUGAAGUUCUAGGGAUUUUUGGAUGUUUUUAGUCGAUUACCCUAGUUAGCCUUAGAAUUGGACUAAGUGCUAGUUAGGAAAGUUGUUGUGCUUGAUAAGAGGAUUAUUCUGUUAAAAUUUGGUAGAAAUUGGAGGUCGCCGGAAUCGGCAUCCGGCCGCCGCUGCCGGCGCCGGAGCUGUUUGGGAGAUUUUAAUGUUUUUAGAUUUGGAAUAUUAAGGGGAGUUUAUUGAAGUGAGUUAUGGAAUUUUUGGAUGAGUUUUGGAUAGGUUUGUGAAUUUCCGAGGUUUGGUAUUUUUGGCGGUUAAUUAAUGUAGAAUCCGGCCGUAGGAUUUAAGUCGUAUUCUGUGGGAAGUUGUUUUUACGGCUGCCGGUAUGUUUGGUGAAGUUUGAGCCGUAUUGAGUUAAGAAUGGCGAAUUUGGGCAAUGAUGAGUGUGUGGGAGGCUCACGUUUAAUUUUGCCCAUUUUGUUUAAUUAUUGGAUUUUUGGUGGGAGAUUAAUUAUAUAUUUGGAACAGGACGAGAGGAGGCCCGAGCAGAGGAAGCCUCGGAGCGUCAUCAGGCUUAGGCCUAAUUUGUGAGUGGACCUUUAUUUUAAGUGAAAAGCAUGCGAUGAAUUAUCCGUUGAUCAUUUAUUUCUUUUCCUGAGAUUUAUUUAUUUCUCGGAUAUUUGGCAAUUUUCCUCCUUUGGAGAGAUCCCGAAAAUGAGAUUUUCGGUGGAUAUGUUUAUUGGAUGUUUAUGAUGAUAGUAUGUAUAUAUAAAUGCUAGCUAGCCAUACGUGUUUGAUCCGCCAUAAUGAGGUAAAAUACCAUUAUGGUGUGACGUGAGUGUUAGACACAAGCGUAGUAGCCCUAUAUGAAAACUAUUUUCUUAUUUGGUUUAUUUAGGUUUUCAUAUAGGGAGUCCACACGUAUAUACACUCGUUCUUUUUCCGCCAUAUUGAGGUACAAUUCCAUUAUGGUGUGACGUGAGCGUUAAACGCAAGCGUAGUAGCCUUGUAUGAAUUUCUAUUUUUCUAAUUUGUUCUUAGAAUUCAUAUAAGGAGUCUGACGAGUAUAAAUACAUACACUUAUAUAUGUUUAUAUAUAAUUUAGCCUGAGAGGCUGUAUUUUAUUAAGUUUUGGAGACUAGCCGGUGCUGGUCGUGAAGUUGCCAGUUUUUGAGUUGAGCGCUUUUGAGCGAUUGCAUGCAGUAUUAUUUUAUUUGGAAAUUAAAUUGGGGAAGCAUAAAGAAAUACUUUUAUUUUAAUUUAUUUUUGUCCACUCACUCUAACUGUUCCACAUGUUUUCCCCCGGGCUCUUCAUUUUAAAUUGCCCAGUCUGCAGAGUUCAGGUUGGACCUAGUAGGAGACGAGGCAUAGUUACCCGCUUUUCCGCCAGUUUUCAUCAGUAGGUUACCUGUUUAACCUACUACUGUUUUCUUGCUUCCGCUAGUGUCUAGUAGCUCUGAAUACUUUGGGAUUAUUGUAUAUUAUUUCGGUGGUGUGAUCGGUCGGUUGACUUUAUGUUUAGAAUUUCUGAAGGAUAAUAUUUGCUUUUAUUUAGCUGGAUAAUUGUGUGUUAUAUUAUUUUUUGGACGUGUUGUAGUAAGAGUGUGAAUUGGAAAUUUUUUGGGUUAGGGUUGUCCAUUUCCAAGGGAGGUUUUACCAAUCUUUUCGGUAAAUUUUCCUUGGAGGUGGUCCCCGCACGACUUACUCCGGGUUUCAGGGUGAAAUUUGGGGUGGGUCGUGUCAGAUUGGGGAGGAAGUGUUGAUGAUUUAAAAAUCACUGGAUAUACUUUUACACUUGGAACUGGUGUAUUCUCCUGGGCUUCAAAGAAGCAAAAAUCAGUAGCCUUGUCUACAGCUGAAGCAGAGUAUAUAUCUGCAUCAAUAGCCACUUCACAAGCAAUUUGGCUCAGAAGAGUCAUUGAAGACUUUGGUGAGAAGCAAGCAUCUGCAACAACCAUUCUCAGUGAUAACAAGUCUGCAAUUGCCAUGAUCAAGAACCCUGUGUAUCACAGUAGGGCAAAACAUAUUGCCUUGAAGUUUCACUACAUCAGGGAUGCAGUUGAGGAGAAUGAGAUUGAUUUGGUGUACUGGAAUACAGAUGACCAAGUUGCAGAUAUCUUCACCAAAGCUCUACCAAGAGAGAGGUUUGAAUACCUCAUAGGCCUGCUAGAGUGCAGAAGCAAAGCAUUAAGAGGGAGUGUUGAAGUUAAUGCUUUCCUUAGUCAACAUACUAGGAAGCAGCAGGAAAUACUUAGCUGCAGGGAAGCUGAAGUCCUUACUGCAGUGAGAUAUUUCUCCCACUUGGUUUACUGUUUCUCCUCCACUUAAUCUAGAUAUUUUGUUGUAUGUAAAGUACAAUUAUAAUCUAGUUAAUUAGGUGUUUCUAAGAUAUUUUGUAGGUUACUUUGCAUCCUAUAUAAAGGCUAUGUUUGCUGUGUAAUCUCUAAGAAUUCCAGAAGUAAGAAAUAGAAGCUACAAAGUUUUGCUUCAACUUCAUCUGUGUUUUCUUGUGCCUCAUUUGCUACAGCAAAUUGAUCUUGAUCAUAUUUUGUUCAAAAUACAAAGUAGAGGCUCAAAUUCUAACAUCGAUGAGCACCUGUUUGGUUUCUUGUUCCGAAAUCUCUGGUUUCUUAGAGGAAUCGAAGAAACCCUGUUUGGUGUCAAGACAUCCGUCUACCCGCUUCCCUGCCUCAGCCGGAGCAGCCCAGGCGGAGCCCCCGACAGUUGGUUCAUCCAUUGCAUAUUUUUUUUUUUUUUUUCGUUUCUGGGAGAAUUUGCAGCAUGUUCUAUAUAUAUAUAGCGGUGACAAACAAGGCCGGGUCUGGCCCGGGUCCGCAACUUGGCCCGAACAAUAUAUGUGUUUUUUUUUAAAAUUAGAAUCCAACUAAUAUUCAACUCAACAUUACUUUGUUUCGACUCCUUUUUUUGGUCAGACUUGGUUUGUGACUUGUGACUCAGUUGCGUACGAAGAAACAGCAGCAGCUUUGGAUCAACUCCAUCAUCCGCCCCGGUGUCCACUUUCGGUUCACCGGAACAGCGUCCCCAGCACGCCCGGCGCAUUCCAGCACACCACACCUCAUCACUCCUACCCGGAGCGCUUCUUAAUUUUUUUCGCUAUUUCCAAUACAACUUCUCCGUCUCACCUCAUCUUCUCGAUUUGAACACACCUCCCCCAGAGUCGCCAUGCUUGCCACGGUAAUUACGAAUCUGCCACUUCUCUCUUUCCCAAUUCGACCUUGAUUUGAUGAAUUUGUUUGCAAAUUUUGAAUUUUGCGUUGAUCUGAAUUGUAAUUUGGGUUGAAUGGAGCAGCAGAGAAGUAUAUCGGGGUCGUCACAGAGCCCUAGAUCGCCGUCGUCGCAGCCGUUCCUGUCAGUUUCCGUCACUGAUCCAGUCAAAUUGGGCAAUGGCGUCCAGGCCUACAUCUCCUACCGUGUUAUCACCAAGGUAAUCACACUGGAUUUCGUCAUUGUAUUAUUGGAUUCUAUGGCUCGAUUUGGUUCUGUCAUGACUGAUUUUUAGCUUAGAGUACGAAAUUUUCUCUCUUUGUGCUGUUAUUGGCUUUUCAAAUUUGGUUUUGUUUGAGAGAAUUUGGAGAAUCAGUUAGUGAGUCGGUUACAUGAAUUUCGAAAAUAGUUUUCGGUUAAUGUGGUAUAGAUUUGACAAUAAGGAAACUAGGAAAGGAAGAAAUGGAAAGAAAGAAUAAGAAUUUGAAUGCACACGAUCAUAUGAGAUGCGGUGCAAGUGGAAGAAAGCUCUAUAAGUUGUAGCUGUAUCUAGAGGUCUUGUCUAAUUGAGAUGAAAGAAGGUAAUAAGAAUGUGGACAGUAGUUCUAUAUCUGUGGUUUGGCCGAAUGCUCGUCUCGGCUGUAUGACAUAUGAUUGUCUCUUAUUAUUACUUGUACUCAAGUGAGCUGUGCUUUUUGUGGGUGCUUUUGAAUGUGAGCAUACAGCUAUACGGUGAUUAGCAAGGUUGGUGAUUGAUUUUUGAAUGAGCAUGCGUUCUGUAAAUUCUUAUAGAUUUAUUAUAUAUAAUUCAUGUCCUUGGAGUAUUAUAUGGGCCAAUCUUUGUUAUCAUAUACACUUAGUAUUAUCAAGCUUUGCCAUCUGCUAUCUUUGUAUUACACUUUUUGAAUGAUGGAUUCUUUUUGUUCUAUCAGACAAAUUUCCCAGAGUACCAAGGGCCUGAGAAGAUUGUCAUCCGACGUUAUAGUGAUUUUGUUUGGCUGCGAGAUCGUCUUUUUGAAAAGUACAAAGGAAUUUUUAUUCCUCCUAUCCCAGAAAAGAGUGCUGUAGGUAACAACCUAGCUCUAACCCUUUUCUGACAACUGUUUUUUGGCAUACUUUGAAGAUUCAAAAUGCAUUUAUUGGUUGCAUCCUCAAGUAUGCCUCAAAAUCCCCUGUUGGAUAUAUCUUGGUUAUGGUUCAAAUUUCCAAGUAAGGCAUUGAGGUUAGGUGGUAGCUCACCUUAAUCUUGUAGGUUUAUACCAUGCUUAGAGUGAUUUUAGGUUGCUGUGUUUUAACCACUUCAAAGAAGGUUUAGUGGCCAGAAGAGUUGAAUUUCAGCAAAACACAUCUGCCCAAGGCUGCCUAUUGUGUAAUAUGUGCAUCUGUACAUUUUUUCUUAUUAGCCAGAGAAAAGUAUUUAUGUGGGAUAAUGUAAGGAUCACAUGUUGAUCAAAUAUUUUCCAUGCAAAUAUGCAAUUCGGUAUACAUGGAUUUUGCUGACAGCAAAGUAUAUACAGCUCUGUGGUUAGUGUAUAUGCUGAAUUCUUGAUUCUGUGUUGGUGCUCAUUGGUGUAAUGACUGGAGAAUUUAGUAAGAAAUUAUGUCUUAAUCCUAUUUUUAUAAUGCAGAAAAAUUUCGUUUCAGUGCUGAGUUCAUAGAGAUGAGACGCCAAGCAUUGGAUGUAUUUGUCAAUCGUAUAGCUUCGCAUCAUGAGCUUCAACAAAGUGAAGAUCUUAAAACAUUCCUACAGGCAGAUGAAGAGGUGAUGUUUAUUAACUUAUGCAUUCAGUUGCAUUGUUUUGUUGUUGUUGUUGUUGUUUAUUAACUAUGUGCCUAGGCGAUACAAUAUUUUGUUGUUGUUUAUUGUUUUGUUGUUGUUGUUGUUCAUUUUACUUAUCCAGACAAUGGAGAGGUUAAGGUUUCAUGAGACUGGUAUCUUCAAGAAGAAGCCAUCAGAUUUGAUGCAAAUAUUCAAGGUAAUAUAUGGGCUCCCUGCUUGUAAAAUAUAGUAGUAGCUUGCAGUUGUAGGUAGUCUCAAUGAGAUAUGUUGAACAUUCUGUAUGAUUUGCUAGCCACUCCUUUCUCUCGUAACAAAAAUUGAUAAGUAGAUUGAAAGGUAUAAGGCACUUACUCAAAAUCUUUAGGGAAUUAUUCAUCAUGUUUUAUAGUGGCACUGCAUUGUAGUUUUUUUAUCCACCGAGGAAAAGAUUUCUUUAUCAUGUCUGUUUUGUGACGUAGGAAUUUAUCCAUUUAUAUUAAUGGAUUGCGUGAAAGUGGGUUCUGCUUGUGACAUAUUUAAGUUGUGUAACAUCUUUCACCAAUUUUUAUUUUCUUCCCGUGUGUGGUCAAGCAGAAAGGGCAGUCCCUUCCAGUGCACAUGUCAUUGGCUUGUGCAUUUAUAACCUUAUAUUUGGCUGAAUCGGCUACUUUAAUUUUUUUUUUUUUUGUCGGGAGAGAUUACCUGAUUAAGCACUGACAUCUGUCAGGAUGUACAAUCCAAAGUUAGUGAUGUUGUCCUCGGGAAGGAAAAGCCAGUUGAGGAGUCAAAUCCUGAAUAUGAGAAAUUGAAACACUACAUCUUUGAGCUUGAAAACCAUUUGACUGAAGCCCAGAAGCAUGCGUACCGUCUUGUAAAGAGGCACCGAGGUAAUAAUGAUCUCUUAUCAUUACUUGUUAUUGUGUCUUUAUGAGGUGUUCACUCAUUAUACUCUUCAGAAAAUGGUUAUAGGAUAAACUGCGAUUCAUUUUACUAUAUUUCUGCAGAGCUGGGACAAUCUCUAUCAGAUUUCGGGAAAGCAGCCAAACUUCUUGGAGCUUCUGAAGGUAAUGCGCUUGGGAAGGCAUUUUCCGAGCUCGGGGCAAAGUCAGAAGCAUUAUCAUUUAAGCUGCAAAAAGAGGUAUGCUAAAUUGAGGAUUGAGCCGUUCAUAAUUGGAUCAAUUGGUGUAUCACAUACUUGUUUUCCUCCUUUAGUUUUUAAAGAGCUUAUCCUACAUGACUCUGAUCUUUGUAUUCCUUUUUAGGCCCACCAGCUGUUAAUGAAUUUUGAAGAGCCCUUGAAAGAUUAUGUUCGGGCUGUUCAAUCUAUAAAGGUUAGUAUGACUUGACAUGCUACCGUUGAAUAUAACACAGAUGUAUCAUUUCAAUUUGAUACUUUCAUAUAUGUGGGAAAGUUUGAUUCACGAUAUAGAUUACUUGGUAUUAUUCACCCAUUUUGGCCUUCUGGGAAUCUGCAUAUAUUGGAAACAAAAGGGUUGGUUUUUAUUAUGUCAUAGACUUUAGUAGCUGACCCCUGUUGCUUUUGUGUGUUGAAACAGGCCACUAUAGCUGAGAGAGCAAAUGCCUUCAGGCAACAAUGUGAACUUGCUGAGACAAUGAAGUUGAAGGAGAUAAAUCUGUAUGCAUCUGGCCAAUUUUUUUUUUUUUUUNNNNNNNNNNNNNNNNNNNNNNNNNNNNNNNNNNNNNNNNNNNNNNNNNNNNNNNNNNNNNNNNNNNNNNNNNNNNNNNNNNNNNNNNNNNNNNNNNNNNNNNNNNNNNNNNNNNNNNNNNNNNNNNNNNNNNNNNNNNNNNNNNNNNNNNNNNNNNNNNNNNNNNNNNNNNNNNNNNNNNNNNNNNNNNNNNNNNNNNNNNNNNNNNNNNNNNNNNNNNNNNNNNNNNNNNNNNNNNNNNNNNNNNNNNNNNNNNNNNNNNNNNNNNNNNNNNNNNNNNNNNNNNNNNNNNNNNNNNNNNNNNNNNNNNNNNNNNNNNNNNNNNNNNNNNNNNNNNNAUUUAACUAAUUUUAUGCUAAGAUAUACAAAUUCAAAAGCAACAAACAAGAGAGCAUGAAAUUGAGUGAUUACCGAUUCGAGAGAAUCGGGUCUCUCUCUCUUUCUCUGCUUAACCGACCGACAUGAAUCCCAUUCUCUAUCUUUUUUCUGCAUAAUCCCCCCAGAAAGGGAAGGGUUUUGAAAUAAAUAAAUAAGGCUAGGUAGGCAAACGACUGUUUCUUUUUCUCUCAUUUUUUUUUCUAUUUUUCUUUUUGGUUACAGAAAAAGGAAAUAACUGAAAAGACACGCCACUUUUUCUACUUUUUUUUGUUUGUUACAGAAGGGGUACUAAGGUCAUUUUCUACUUUUUUCACUUUUAUCUUUCCUUGUAUUUGUAUGCAAACAACAUACCAGUAGUCAUCUGUAGUAUGACACUAAAUAAAACAAAUUGGUUAAGUAAAGGAAAAGAAAGAGUUGCAAUAUCGUGUAGAUGACAACCAUUUGAUUUAACUGAAGUAGGACUUCCUUUUUACAUUGAUAAUUUGAUAUAGAUAAUUUAGUGCCCAUUCUUUGAUGUAUUUGUUUUUCGGCCCUUUAAUUGUUUAAUUCCUUUUCUUAAUUGGUAUGCAGUGACAAACUCAUGCUAACCAGAUCAGACAAGGUGGCAGAAGCUGAGCAUGAGUACAAGGAGGCAAGUCACUUGAUACAUGCAAUCAUAGUGUGUGCACAUUAUGGAUCUUUCGUAUUUGACUAGAAUUGUUUUUGUGAUGCAGUUGAAGGCUGAUAGCGAGGAAGCGACCAGAAGAUUUGAAACAAUUGUGCGACUGAUGAAUGAAGAGAUUGUCCGCUUUCAGGAACAAAAGACAAUAGAUAUGGGAGUUGCUUUCCACGAAUUUGCCAAAGGGCAGGCACGCUUGGCAAAUAGUAUUGCAGAUGCUUGGAGAAGUCUCCUGCCUAAACUUGAAUCUUGUUCACCUGCUCAGUGAAUGAACUUAAUGAUCAGAGCAGUAUACUUCACUUGGUUUAUAGAGAUGGCAGGGCAGCUCUUUGUUUGUAAAAACUGUCGACCUUCAGGAGUUUGUUCUGCUGUUCUGGUGUUGUAUGAGUUGUGGUUGUUAAUUGAUACGUACUAUAUUUUUCUUCUUAACUUGUUACUUGUACAAAUUCAGAGCUAACCGAAAAAAGCUUUAAUUUCAUGUCUACCUCCAACUCAUGCAUUGCAAAUUGAAUGAUCGAUGUUCAAAUUUGAACGCUUUCAGAUAAUAAAACACUUAUUUAAAUUGCAGAGGUUCAUCGCUUUUGGUAGAACCGUAAAAGCAUCUAUCAGGAGUAUUUGGAGAAGUAUUGUACACCAUUUAGCCUCGUCGCAUAAAAAUCAGUAUCGUUUUUGGUUCAUGGUUAAUGGAUAAAACUCGCUUUUUUGUGUGGCAUUCAUUUUAGUUAAUGACCAACUCACGCGCGACGCCGUGAGUUUUUUUUUUUUUUUAAUUAUUAUUAUUAUUAUUAUUAUUAUUAUUAUUAUUAUUAUUAUUAUUAUUAUUAUUAUUUUACGCUUUUAACAUUAGUUAACUGUUUUGCUUAUCAAUGCAUACAAUGUUCGUUUUUCUGUAUUUUGCUUCCUAUAGUUCACCCUACAUUAUUAGUAUCAUUUGACAUGUAAUAAUCUUUUUUAUUAACAUUCAUUGAUAUUCAAUGUUCGUCGAAAGGGAGACGUUCGCACUUGCAUUUAUUGAUUUUUAGGGAAUAAAAAGACAUAGACCUCAUAUUGUGUAGACCUUAUAUUGUCUUCCGUCUCUUGCUAUACAUGUUUUUAGGGAAAGACCUAAUCAAAGCGGGCGAAAAAAACCAUGCUCAACGGGUACGAUUAGUAGGUUAUCUAUUGUAUGCCUUAGUUUUCUGUUUGACCUAUAUUCUUCACAUAAAAGUGGACUAAAUUUCUUCCCAUAUUUUCUCUGUGCCAAAGGAGGACAUACUAAAUUUCUUCAAUAUAUUCAAAUUUUUUUUUGUGAGCCAAAUGAUACUACACAGAGUCGAUCAUACAAUCAUUAAAACAUACAAUAAGAAAACAUACUAAAGUUCUUUAUAUUAUACCAACAUAUCAGUAAAAGGAGAAUAAAUAGAAUGUCAAUUGGAAACAUAAUUGAACAUGAUGAAAAGAUCCUAUUGAGUGAUACUUCAAUGCAUGUCCCAUUCAAGACUACAACAAAUACAUAAAUGCCACAUUGCUCUCAUUUCCUGCAAAACUGUCUGGGCCUCGUCCAUCUUCUCCUUCCCUGCAAACGCCUCAAACACCGCGAUGUAAGUGCUGCAGGUAUUGGGCUGCAUUCCCUCCCCGUCUUUUCCAUCACAAACUCCUUGGCUAUCCCAUGGAAAUUAGGGUCCGGGUCUAUCCCAAUUGUAAGCAUUAGGAGCACAAUUGACUCCACCGUCAUAUGGUACACUGUGUACCGUACACAUAAAGAGCCUCAAUAGUCUUUUCAGCUUCAGCAUACUCCUCAAUGUCUUCGUGGUUGAGCUAUUUCCAAGAACUACAUGAAAGAAGAAAGAGAAAAGUUGAAACCGUCAUCAAAAUACUUGUUCAUAAGACAAAAGGGGUGAUAUAUGCUCAUACAUACUUGUAAGUUGUAGAUCACCUCCUGCAUUAUAAACAACACUAAAUUACAAAACAGGGAGAAGUGAUUGUCGUCCAAUAAAAAAAACAAUUGAGAUGCAGCCGAAUGUGGAAGAAAAAGAUAAAAGCAAAACAAACCUCAACUGGAAGAGACUUUCAUGAGUUUCAUCAUCCAAUGAACAACUGCACCAAAUAAGAAUUUUCAUACCCGAAUUUAUUUUUCUUUGAUUACUCUUUCUAUGUUGCCUCUUUCCGGAUUGUCUUCUAUUCAUAAACUGAUAAGGAUAUAUAGGGUGAACCACUGAACCGUUUCUCUGCCCCAAACUGGCAAACUCCCACGAACUCCAAAUUCUUUUAAUGGUGCGUGCAGCAGUUUCAUUUUGUGGAAAUUAUCCACGUUUAUCCAGAACAGUUAACAAUUAUCUCAUCUUUAUUUAUUUUUUUUAAUUUCUGUUUUCUUUCCGAUUCAUUUUAUUUCUGUUUUCUUUUUACUAUUUUGUCAUUCUUUUAUUUAUAUCUGAUUUUGUAUGAUUAAUUUGAGGGAAGGGCAAUUUAAGGGUUAUCUGAAAAUUUAACCAUUGACGGUUUCAUAAGCCAAAUUGGCUUAAUUAAUACUGAUAUGUUGAGGCUAGCUUAAAUUUGAUGUCAUAUUUUGUCUACGAGCAAUUAAGGCUUGGUGAGCUAAACCUAUUUCUAUAACACUCUGAAUUGGCAGAUAAGUGUGUCUUUCACAUGUCCACGUUUAUAAUUCAGUAAUUACAUCUAAACAAACUCAAGAUUUAAAGAAAUGAUUAGUCUCAGAAUGUAAAAAAUGUUAAGAUACUAUAUAUGUUGAUCUUAUAACGGAAACAUACAACAAAUAGAGGAAGAGAAGACAUAAAAUUUAUGCGUCUUGAACGUUCAUGUGAGGCUUGGGUCUCUCAAAAUAUCCCAGUGUCAUGUACAUCAAUCGGAAAUGAUAGUUAAUAGAGAGUUUGUUAUUUAGUUUUGUUAGUUGUUUUUCCAGUAAAUUGAGAAAAUAAAAAAAAAACUUACUAAUUUCGUAGAAAAAGAAAGAGCAUAGGAAAAUAAAGAAAGAAAAAGGUCAUUAAGAAUGCGGACAGAUUCCUCGCACUCCCCAUUUCUAGAGAACGCUCACCGGAUUCUCUCGGGAAAAUUCCGAUAGCUGACGUCACUCGACUGAGCAAGGUAGGUAAAGCCCCUUCGAUUCAUUUAAAUUUCUGGAGACUGAAAUUGAAAUUUGCUGAAUUGAGUUGAGAGGUCUCUCCCGUUAUGGGUCGGAUUUCUAAUUCCAAUAUGAGUCCUGCAAUUCUGAAGUCCCUUCUUUUGUUCAUCUUCCUUUUGUAAUCUUGUAAGCUUGAGCUUGAGAAUACGCAGCUUGGUGAGUAACGGAAUUACAUUAGCGUGUAUUAUUCUAGAGCAUGCUCAGAAUCUCAUGAAAAUGAUCAUUAUUUGUUUUCCAUUUACCCCAUCAUAUAAAUUUUAUGAGGAAGUUAGAGAGAACCAGUGUUAUUUUCAAUCCCGGGAGAAAACGGAUAUUAGGAUGCAUAGAAGUAGAUGAUUCUCUGACGAAUUUUGUUACUAGUUGAUGCAGAGAAAAAGAUUUGAAUUAAUGGUAUCUGUUGAAUUGUCUGCUUUUAGGAACAGAAGACGAUAGAUAUGGGAGUUUGCUUUCCCCAUAAACUUACUGAAGGGCAGGUGCACUUGGCAAAUAGUAUUGCUGAUGCUUGGUUAAGUCUCCUGCCUAAACUUCAAACUUGUUUUCCUGCUAAGUGAAAAAAAAUAUUAGCAUAUACUUCAUAGAGAUGGCAGGGCAGGUCUUGCUUUUUAGAGAACUGUUGACCUUCAGGAGAUUGUUCUGCUAUUCGUCGUAUGAGUUGUGAUUAUUUAUAGAUCUUACUUCUUAUUUCUUAACUUAUUACCUGUACAAGUUCAGAGCUAAUCGGAAAUGCUUUAUUUCAUGUCUACCAAACGGCAUCAUACCUAUGAUAUACAUUCAUAUGAAGUUCAACAUUCCUAAUGAAUUUUCUUGUCAUUCCUUGAACCCUUUAGAUUGUAGAGGUUUCAGUGUUUCAUUGCUGUAGUAGAAACAUUUAUUUGGUGCUUACAUGAUACAUUGGCCUCUUUUCUUCCAAAAACGUUAACUGCACACGGAUUGCUUGCCCUGUAUAUUUGAUGUACCGAUCCGUUAUGCAGACUUUCCUUUGUUUUUAUUCAUUACCAUAUAUCCUGUGUUUUGAUUUCUUACUAUACAUAUAUAUAUAUUUAUUUUUUUUGGGAAUGGAAAAUACCAAUAGAGAACAGCGUAUUUAUAUACACAGAAAGUCGGCCUCUUAUCUGUCUCACCUGAUUUCCUCUUCCAUGGGUCCUCCUCAAGGACCCUCUGCUCGUUGUGCUAUAAUGGUAGACAAAUUCAGUGCACUUCCUUUUGAUCUUGCUCAUCGGAUUCUGUCCCCUCUACCUCUAGCUGAUUUCGCUUGAUUGAGCUGCCCAAAGGAUUGAGAGCAUUUCAUUUAUCAAAUCCCAUUGUGAAGUUCAUUGGUUUUCCAUCUGAGUCCAUCUGCACCUACAACAGGCGAUUGGAUCUGUUGAAUUGCUUAGAUAGGUUCUUCAUCCUUCAUGGGAAUAACCAGAUUCAAAGCUUUUCACUGCAUUGGCUUUGUAAUUAUUGUGUAGGGGAGGUUGAAUUUGUCAGUAGGUUUGGUGAUGAGAAAUCUCGGAUCAUUGGAUGGCUUCAAAAUGCAGUGAGUUGUAAUGUUGAAUCUCUUACUAUUUUCUUUAGAGCUUUGAUUGUACUCUUCCUAUGGACUUAUGUCUCCCUUUCCCAUGUUGUGUCUUCGACUGUGAGUCUUUGAGGUCUUUAAUUGUCGACAUGAGGUGUACUGUUCUUAAAGCUUCAUCAUUUGCUACAUCUCACGUCUCUAAUCUGGUAUGCAUGAUGUUAACAAAUAUUACUUUUGAAGAUGAUAAGGGGUUUUGCAAAUGGGUCUCAAUCUCCUGCAGAUUCCUUAAGGAAUUGCUUAUUGAUCAUGUUAAUGGGUUGGAAAAUAUCACCAUUGAAAGUUCGUCCUUGGAAUCAUUCAGUCGGAACUCUGGCAGCUCCUGCAGAGCAUUGCAACUUACUUGUCCAAAUCUAAAGCGUCUGAAGUGGGUUGGAUAUUAUCUUCCUAUUAACUUGUUCAUGGGAGAAUUCAACUGCUUAGAAGAAGUCGAAAUUUCGUUUAGCAAUCCUGAAGUUGAUUAUGCAAGAGCUGACUUCAUUAGUGCCCGUGAUAAUCUGUUGCGCAGUAUGUGCAGUGUUAAAGCUCUUGUUCUUGAUCCAAUUACUGUAGAGGUAAAGAAAUGCACCUUUCAAUAUAUAUUUUUUUCGUGUCGAAAAUCAAAACUGCAGAGUUACAGAGCAACUGUUUAAGAGUUAACUGUGAUCCAUGAUGUUGUCCUAACUGUUCAUCAUUUGUACUUUAAUUAAGUGAGUUCGUUUUCAGAUCCUUGAAAUUAAGGUUUUGACAUCACAAUUUUGUAGAUUCUAUUCAAGGGUGGUUCUCCACAUGCACCAUUCUUGAACCUUUGGAGCUUGCAUGUUCGAAUUCAUGAAAGUAUUUGUAAUGCUACAGGCCCUGCUCUGGCCGCUCUUCUCAACGGAGCGUCAAAUUUGAAUACUUUGGAUAUAUCAUCCAAAUCACCUAAAAUUUCUAAUGGAAUUCAAGUAAGUGAAAGAUUGACUUAACUAUUACAUGCUUCAUUUUACCACCUGCAUUUUAUUUUCCUAGUUGGGGUCUCUUUAUAUUUUGAUACUAGAAUUCUUGAUAUUUUGGUAGGGCAUUGGCUAAUUUCCUUAAUUUUCUCUUUAUGUUACAGUCAUUUGGAUACGCUAAGGGAUAUUGGGCAAAACCAGGCCUCCUUGAUUUUACAUCUCAGCUGAAAGAGGUAACCCUGGAGCUCACCAAUGGUUCUAAUGGAAUUGCAUUAGCGUGGCAUAUUCUUGAGCAUGCUCAGAAUUUGAAAAAGAUGAUCAUUAUUUGUUUCCCCAUUUUGCCGCAUCAUUAUAAUUUUUUGAUGAAGUUGGAGGGAACCAAGAUUAUUUCCAACGCCACAAUUACGAUUCAGAGAAACUAAUAUUAGGCCAUGAAGAGACUAGACGAUGCUAUUUCUUUUGAAAGGGUUGAUGCUAUUUUUUGUUUUUGUUUUGAAGACAGGGUUGAUGCCAUUUUGUUAUGAUUUGUUAUUAUGGAAUUUGUUAUAACUUUAGAAGAAUUUUAAUAUUGAGUGACCUUGGAAUAAAUCUGCAUUAGUUAUCAAGGCAACCAGACAAGUUUCUAAACAUACUUUUUAAACAUGUUUUUACAUAUCCAUAUAGUGAUAUUAUCACCAGGACUUAAAAUAGCUUUACCUUUUCCUCUGGCUUCACCUCUUAGUUAAUGCUCUUGAUAUAUACUUCUCUGUGAGUGUUUUAGAAGAGUCAUUUUCUGCCCUUUGUUCGACCUCUUUAGCUUUUUAAGUCCCAUGGCUUGACAAUGGGUAUGUAUAACUAUGCUUCUGUUUGAAAAGUUUGUGCUCCAAGCUUUGCCCGUCUAAGUCAUAUAUAAGGCUACUGUAAAUUGGUUUUUGGAUUAUGGUGUUGAUUCUCUUGUCUGCUUUCUUAAGAGCUGUUGUGUUUGUUGAUGUGCGUAAGCCAUUGGUCAUUUCUUUUCCCUACUCUUAUUUAUCUCUACUUGCAACAUGAUUUUUUUUUCCUUUUUCUGGAUCUGGGUUUUUUAUGCUGCUUCCAAAACUACUUUGAUAGAUAUGUUUAAGAUACAAAUGUCGCUGAACUACAUGAAGAAUUACUAGAACAACUAGAACACACUCCUUGAGUACAUAAGAAUCGGUCAAUUAGGACAGUACCUCGUAAGAGCUUACAAAUGGUACCGGAAGUAUUACUGCUAAUCAAUAGUAAGAAACAAGGUGAAGGGCUUACAAAGCACUUGAAUUUAAGGCUUUUAUUAUUGAAAAAGUAUGUCAAGGAGUUACACGUACUGCUUGCUUUCCCUCUGGGCAGCAAAUGUACAUUAUCAUCCUUCUUGGAUAGCUAUCAGAGACAAACUCCCUAAUCAAAAAUCCACUACGUGUGUGUCUAUUCGAAAAUGCGCUUGACACUUAAACUGAGUUGCGGUACUUAUGUUGAGCUUGAACGGAGUGCCACCAAAGAAGCAUAAGAACCAUCGGUGAUCUUCAUUAGAACUUCAUGGCUACCUUUCUCAGCAAUCACGCCGUUCUUGACCACAGCUAUCAUGUCUGCUCCUUUGAUCGUGGUAAGGCGGUGCGCAACGACAACAGUUGUUCUAUUCACCAUCACUCUAUCCAAAGCAUCUUGUACUAUGCGGUCUGACUCUGCAUCCAGUGCACUUGUAGCUUCGUCGAGCAAAAGAAUUCUUGGGUCCUUUAGAAUAGCCCUUGCAAUGGCUAUUCUUUGCUUCUGUCCUCCAGAUAGUUAUUGAUACUUGACAAGCUGGUGGCUGGGCCAUAUUUAUGGCCUAGAGUGGGUUCUCUUUACUUGAAAACCGAUGUGGGACAGCUGUCUUUGCUGUUAUUCAAACACCCAGCUCCCUUAUGCCUUCUGAAACCGUUCCCGGUCCAAUGCUGCCACCGAGGUCGGGCCUGGCCCAUCCUGCACAUGGAUGGGAACCCUAGGGCGGCCUCGGUUGUCUUGACCAUGGUGGGAUGCUUGUUGGUUUAUGGGCUUGGGAGGUUGUUUUAUGCACAACCGACUACAAGUCCCCCCAAGUUCAAGACACAUCUUGAGUGGGGACUUGCUAAAAUAAGCCCGUAGACCAAUAUAUUUCAAAUGAGCUCUCGCCCAUAGUCCCCCCAAGUUCGUACUCAUGAUGUGGGUUGACGAGUGUUACAUUUUCCAUGGACAAAGGUAGUGAGCCCUUUCCAUAUCCGGUGUUCCUACUCGAGUGACGGGGUGUUAACGCCGUCCGUGGUUUAUCAAGCCACUUGCUCCGUUUUUAAAGGGAUGAUAUAAAAUGCCCAGCCUCGGCCUCUCGGGGAGACUUACCUGGGUCUUAUAUUUCUUACGCAGUUGAGCGCGAUGGAAUGCCUAUCUCGGUGGACUUAUAUAUCUCCCGAGAUAUGUCUUUCACGAAUGAUCUCGGUGAUACUCACCCGGGAUAUGAUUUUCACUGGGUGGAAUGCCCAUUUCUCGGUCGAAUGCCAAUAUCUCGGUGGAAUGCCUCUCAGUAGAAUACCUAUCUCUCUCUAGCUUAUGUUGCUUGGUGGAAUGCCUCUCGGUGGAAUGACUAUCUCUUAGUGGAACUCACCCUAGAUGGGUCUUUCACUUGGUAUUACGAUCUCGGUGAUACUCAUCUGAGAUGGGUCUUUUACUUUGUGAUCUCGGUGAUAUUCAUCCGAGAUGGGUCUUUUACUUGGGAGUUUGUGCGUUGCUGUGGCAGGUGCAUUAAUUGACAAACAAUUAAUGCACGUCGCUUCAUUCUUUCUUUCUUCAAGAAGGUACGACGGUUUAUCCACGUGGCAUGAUCCUGCGGUUUGAUCGGACGGCUAGGGGUGCCUCGUUUUUGUUAAGUGGAUUUUUAAUGCGUCGUUUCGUGGAUCGAGGCGACUUCCCACUGUGUAUAUUCUUCCCCCCUUUUUCGUCUUCACUCUUUCACUUACUUUAUUCUCUGGUCGCUCUCUGGUUUUCUCUGCUCUCUUUCGGUUCUCUGUGGCUUCUCUCUUUUCUGCUUUCUCUGUGGUAUCUUUCAUCCUCGCGCAGUACCGUCGUUGAUCCCUGCGAUUGUGAGGUGCUACCGGUCCUCUGAGUUUCCGAUGUUGCUACUACGUCGAAAAUCUGGUAAGUUUCUGUGCUGCUUUAUACUUCGUUCUGCUGCAUACCUUUGGUUUUGCUUUGCUUUUGCUUUGCCUCUGUUUUGUGUUACUUUUGUGAUGGUUUUGGGUAAAACCGGGGAUUGUGGUAUUCUAGGGAUUUAUGGGUUUUGGGAGUGUUAAGCUAUGCACUUUGCGCUUGCUCCCGGCAACGCAUACUAAUAGAUCUUAGGGUUUGUUAUACUAGGGUAAAUGGAUUCCCGAAGUACAACUGACUUAAGUGGGGCUAGCACAUCCUCUCGGCCGAUAGUGGAUGACGACGAGAGGAUGGAGGAGUACAUAAGUCGACCAUCCCGCCCGGGUGAAUCGUCUACGUCGAGACCCGAAGACGUAACUUAUGCCGUACCCGCCCGGGAUGUCGAUUGGUCUGUCGGGGUUUUUCAUGGCGUCCCGAUGACCAACAUCGUAGGCACUGCUUCCUCUAGGCGGUAUAUCUUGGAGGAUGGGACCAUGUGCGACAAGCUUGAGUGCAGCAUGACCUCGGCCGAGAACAAUUUCGAGAAGACUGGGGCAUCUCGCCCACGGUUACCCUCUAUGGGCUUUACGAAGGCGAGUUGCCGUGCUGUCCGAGAGAUGGCUUCGUUGUUGUGCACGAUAACAUGUUUAGGAACGGUUUCUCCCUCCCGCUUCCUCAGUGCCUGCAGUACCUGCUGAGCAUACUUCAGUUAGCUCCCGGGCAGAUCCCCCCAAACCAGUGGCGCCAGCUGCUGUCCUUGUGUUGCCUGUACUACUUGUCAAACAUGGGGUGGCCAACUAUCAACGAGUUUCGGGCUCUCUACUGCCUAUUGUACUCGAAGAAGCAAAACUGCCUCCCGUUAUGGAUCUUCCAACGUCCAUAAAUAACAAAUGGUGUUCAAAGGUCGUGCUUGCCGGUUGGUGAUGGCAAAGAAACUGCUCGAAGUACAUUGUGCCCAACCGGUUUAGGUAUAUCUGGGAUCAAUCCUUCUCGUUGUCUGAGAUCGAGAAGCAACGUAUCGCUCGGAUAUUUACGGCCUGGCCAUCAGACGAGGAUCGUAGCUCGUACAACUUGACCCGAUGGAGUGUGCUAGUUCAUUGUGAACUCGACUGUAUGCUUGGUGGGGUCCCCGGUUAAAUGUCUCUCAAUUGCUGUUUUUUUUUAUUUGUGCUUUUUCUCUUUUUUGUUGACUGUUGUGCUUGUAUGCAACAAAUGUUCCCAAGCGCAAGCCCCGUGACUCACACCCGCGCGACAUGGACUCUGAUAUGGACUUGCUGAGCGACCUCUUGGAGGUCGGGAAGGUGGCCUUUUGUACCGAGGUGAAUAUUGCUGACUCUACUGCCCGUGUCUCGAAGGACGCUGUGGUCCUAGAGAUUCCCGACGAAGGGUACAAGAAUCCGCCUUCUGACAAAGAGGGGCUCGUGAGUACCGGUGACGUGGUCAACGUCCACUUGGGCGAGAAGAAGAAGAGGACGUCAUCCAAGAAGUCAAAGUCUCAGCGGGAUGAAGGCGUGACUUUGACCGGGAUGAGUGUGAUUGGCGCCUUGCCCCCCCCCCCCCCCCCCCCCGCCCCGCCGGAAGAAACAAAUUAAAAGUCGACGGGUUCCUCAGCUAGCAACCCUGUGACCUUGAGCGCUCUCGCUCCUGCUUUUCCCCAUAUCCAAAAGACCCCCAUCCGGCAGAUACUAGACGAGUACGGGUGCGCCGACAAAAGGUUCGUCCGUAGUAUGGUGGGCGACAUGAAGGGAAUCGAGCUGGACCAGAUCAAGGUCGGGUCUAAUACCCCUCAACAGAACCGGCAAUACGCCCGGGAGGCCAUGAUGAAGGUAAGCUUCUUCUUUCUGAUGCCAAUUUACUGUCCGGGAUGCUGUUUUUAAUUUAUUUCUCUUUGCAGGCCCUAUUUGCUGUCUAUGUCAUCGAUGCCAGCAUGAGAUGAAGGAGCGCUUGGCUAGCCUUAACGACCAGAUUAGCUACCUCUGGGCUGAGCAGAAGAAGAUGGAGAAAAACUUGGAGGCCAAGAAGAAGGAGAAGCUCUCUUUGGCUAACAAGUUUGCCAAACUCAGCCUUCAUACUAAGGAUCUGGAGGGAAAAGUCGAGCGGGUGGCAGCUUUGGAGUGCGACAUAGACGCGCUUCAGCGGGAGAACGCUAAGCUGCAGACUAAGCUGAUGGAAAGGGACAACCAGAUCGUCGACUUGCAAGGCCAGAUUCCCGCCCAAGGUAAGCUUGAUGUCACCAAGUUCAAGGAGUUAGACGAGCUGUAAGUUAUGCUCAAGGCAACCCGAGAGGGUGGCAUCAUCGAGAAGUUUGAUGAAUGGAGCCGCCUUGGGUAUCUGGACAAGGCGAAGAUGACCGCCGACCUAAUCGCUACCUAGGAGGCCAAAGAGAGAGAGGCGAAGUCCAAGGCUGCUGCAGAGAAAGAGCCUGUGAUUGCCGGGGGUUGACAGGGGAGCCGACCGAGAAGGAUGCUGAGGAGAAUGCAGAAUUGUCCGACGAGGAAGAGGACGUCCAUGAGGCAUAAGUUGUAAUUUGCCUCUUUUUUUUUUUGGCUUUUUGUAAGACAAUGGCCUCGUGCCUUAUCCUGGUGGUAAUACACCCCGGGUGUUUUUGUACAUUACCCAUUAGUGGUAUACUCUCGGCAUUCCGGGUUUUGAUAUAUUAUGCCUUUAUCCAACUUUGUGGCUCGCACCUCGUGUUAUAUAUAAUAUGUAUUACUCCUAUCCCGCUCGGUGUUACUGAGGAUUUUUAAUAACUUAUGCGUCCUGGUGGAUUACCUAUUCCGUUCGAUACUACUCGGGAUUUUAUUAACUUAUGCCUCUUGGUGGAUUAUUCAAUGGUGUUUGGAUUUAACUUUGCCAUUCCAUUAAGUCUCAAGAUCAAUGGAGGCAUCUUCCGGGACAUGUUGUUCUCCCGGGGGCAGCAAUAUUAUAAAAAAUGGGUCUCGUCCCCUUUUAAAUUGGUUCUGAUUGCCCAUAAUACUUCCGGCAGCUUCUGUGCCCAUAGACCCUUGGCGUCAUCUAACUUCUUCUUCAAAAGCUUUCUAAUGAUUUUGUUAACUGCUUCCAUAUGACCAUUGGUCUGUGGGUGCCACUAAUGCGAAGACCAUCUUGGUGCCCAUGUCCUUCGUGAACUCAAUCAGAUGGUUGUUGUUGAAUUGUGUUCCAUUGUCCGUGACGAUUGUCUCCGGGACCCCGAAUCUGCAAUAUACAUUUUUCAUCAGGAAAUUCUUCACGCACUCGAUGGUUAUCUUCCCCAAGGGCUCCGCCUCCACCCACUUCGUGUAAUAGUCAACGACCACUAUUACGUACUUGAACUGCCCGAGUGUCGUUGGCAGUAUCCCGAUGAGAUCAAGACCCCAUUGUGCAAAAGGCUAGGGCGACAAUAAUAUUGACAGAGCAAUAGGAGGGGAAUGUGUCCCGUUAGCAUGCAAAUGGCAUUUACGGUAUCUCGCCGACAUCUUAUCCGUCAUGGCGCCCAUGUUGAGCCAGAAGAACCCUAUGCGGAGUGUCUUAUGCGCUAACGACCGAGAUCCAGAGUGAUUCCCCCACACCCCCUCAUGGAUUUCUCCCAUGAUCACCUCUCCUUCCUCUUCUGUUACGCACUUGAGGUUUGAGAAACUAUAACCUUUGCGGUAUAACUUCCCGUUCAUGAGUGUGUACCUGACACAUCUCGAUUUUUCAAUUUUCAUGUUUGCCGUCUGUCCUCCGGGCGCACCCCCUCUUUCAUGAACUCGAUUAUGGGGUCCAUCCACGUAGGCUCUUCUGUUACGCACUUGAGAUUUGGGAAACUAUAACCUUUGCGGUAUAGCUUCCCGUUCAUGAGUGUGUACCUAGCACAUCGCGAUUGCAAUUUUCAUGCUUGUCGUCUGUCCUCGGGCGCACCCCCUCCUUCAUGAACUCGAUUAUGGGGUCCAUCCACGUAGGCUCUCCGGGUCCCGCCUCGACCAUGAAUAUCUCCGAAAUGGUUUUACUUAUGCUCGGUUUUUCUAGCACCUCAAUCAUUGCCUUGUUUCUUCCUUUCCCAGGCCCUCCGGUGGCUAGCCAGGCAAGGUCAUCUGCAUUAUUAUUUUCAUUCCGCGGGAUGUGAGAGAGAGAGGCCGACUUGACGCGCUGCGUGAAGGCUUUCAACAGUGCUUGGUAAGAGUUCAACUAAGGCUCCUUAGCUUCGAAGCUCCCGUUGACUUGAUUUACGACCAACUGUGAAUCAAUAAACACUUCCACUCUCCACGCCGAUGUCCCGGGCGAGCUGCAAUCCACCAAUCAAGGCUUCGUACUCUACCGCAUUGUUUGAGGUCUUGAAUUGAAAUUCUAGGGCGUACUCAUGCUUGAAUCCAUCGGGGGUCACCAAUAUUAUUCUCGCCCCGCUUUUAUUUCUAGUCACCGAGCCGUCAACAAAAAGUUUCCAGGGUGGUGCCGGUAUCUCCUCAACGUGCACCACCUUGUCCGCCCCGAAACCACAUCCCUCCUGGCCGACCUCGGAUGACUCUCCCACAUCUUGCGUGGGGGUGCUCAGAUGACUCUCCCACAACUUUCAUGGGCGUGAGCUCAGAUAUAAAGUCGGUCGCUGCUUGGCCCUUGAUAGCCACUCUUGACCGAUAAUGGAUAUUAAAUUCCUCCAGCUCAAUUGCCCAUUUUACCAGCCUCCCGUUGAUCUCUGGCUUUUGAAUGAUCUGUCUCAGGGGGUGGUUGGUAUAAAGGGUUAUUGAGUGUGCUUAGAAGUAGUGUCUUAGCCUUCUAGCGGUCACGAUUAGCGCUAAAGCUAAUUUCUCAACAUCCGGGUACCUGUUUUCUGCUGGCGUGAACCCCUUCCCGGCGUAAAACACCACAUGCUCGACAUCAGACUCUUUUCUUAUUAGUACCGAGCUAAUUGUUGUUUGCGAUGCUGCAAUAUACAGAUAAAGCAUCUUGCCCGGGAUUGAUUUUGAUAAAACUAGCGCGGACGUGAGGUAUGCUUUUAUCUGCCUGAAACCCUCUUCCUGCUCGGGUCCCCACAUUAUCUCCUUACACCGUUGGUCUCUCAACAGCUGAAAGAAGGGGGCACACUUAUCUGUGAGUCGUGACACGAACCUUGCCAGGGCGACGAUCUUCCCGGCCAACGACUGUACUUCGUUCCUUUCCUUGGGCCUUUCCAUACCUAAGAUGACUUGGAUCUUUUCCGGGUUGGCUUCUAUGCCCCUCUUGCUGAUUAUAUGGCCUAGGAAUAUCCCUUUGAUCAACCCGAAUAUACAUUUUUGAGGGUUCAACCUCAUCCCGUACCUUAGUAUGACCUCGAAGACUUUCUCCAGAUUCCCCACAUGCUCCUCGGCCGUUAGACUUUUGACCAGCAUGUCAUCGACAUAUACCUCCAUAAUUUUCCUGAGGUACUUGACGAACAUGACAUUCAUCAGCCGCUGGUAGGUGGCCCCUGCAUUCUUCAGUCCGAAAGCCAUUACCUUAUAGCAAUAUAGGCCCCUGUCGGUCGUGAAAGCCGUGUGCUCCUCAUCCCUCGGGUCCAUAUGGAUCUGGUUAUAGCCCGCGUAUUGGUAGAAUUCUUGCAAGUAUACAGGGUGGAUGUAGUAUAGUGAAAUAGAAGAGAAGGGGUUGUCGUUCCCACGAGGAUAUUAGUUCAAUUCAAAUUAUGAAAUACCUAAACUAACUAUACUAAAACACACAAAUCACGAUAACAAUUUAAAGAAACAAUAAAAUAAGUAAACAAAUAAUGAUAAAUGAAUCUAGGGCGUCAGAAUCAACCACUAACAAUCCUAUUUAUGCUUUGAUGCAACUAACAGACUCUUUUGUUUCUCUAGAUGACAAUUCCCGUAUCUAAGUCCUUCUCAGGUACUCUAGACCAUAAUUUUCCUUAAGUGUAUGAUGCUCUCCCUCUCGGGUAAAGGUCGUAUAUCCUAGCUAUGCAAUCUAUCCUUCUCAAGUAUAAAUUUAACAUGCAGAACUCAUUACGUACUAGAAAAUAAGAGAAUCAAGCAAACCAUUAUUCUUUCUCAAGCAACAAUGUAAUUCACCACACUUAACCAUAAAAAGCUAUAUAAAUUAUAUUGCAUCUCUGCUUCAAAUUUAUCUUCCAAUUACUAAGUGCAAAGCCCUAAGGUGAUCAAUCAAAGAACUUAAACAUCAAGCAUAAAAUUCAACCGGUGAUUAAGCAUUCAUCAUUAAGAAACUAUAAAUCUGUUAAUUAAUCAUCAAAGACAUAAACAUUCAUGUUAGGGAAUCAUCCUAACCCUAGAAAAGGUUUAACUAAACAUGACUAAAUAAAACAUAACAAAAACAUAAAAAGAACGAAAAGGUGAAGGAUGGAUGAAUGGAUGGAUGGUCUCUGCUCCUUUAGGCGUCUACAACGUGCUUCCGAGACCCCCCUUUCAUGUGAAAUUCGUGCUCCUUUAUAUAGAGAAGUUUCUUGCUCAUCUUUGGCUUCAUAUUUCCUUGUAAAACUUGGAUUUAGACUCCUUUCUUGAUAUGGAAUGGGAAAACCUUGCGAUAUCUCUUAUAGAACUAGGAAUACAUGUACUCCUUGAAUCCUCAUCUGCAUUAUUGUCCUUGAAGCUUUAGGGUUGACGGUCUUAUACCACGGAACUUGAGUUCUCCACAAAUGCUUGUAAUUUCCCGAGUAGAUUUUCUGAUCUGAUCUAUCUUCAUUCAAAUGAUCAUAACUCAGUCCAUAAGUAUUGAAAUCGAGAUCCGUAAACUUCUACAGAAAGUAGACUUUUGUAGCUUUCCAAUGAUAUAAGGCUCAUAGUUUGAUUCGAUAUAAGUAAUUCCCAAUAAGUCGGCAAAGUUGGAUGUUAUGCUCAGGCAGAUUCUGACACUUGAGAUUGUAGUCGCCUUUUAAUCCUUAGUUGCUCAUUUUAGCUCCUUUUCUUCUCCUUACGACACAAACCUACAAGAACACUAAAAUAACUUAAAUCUAUCACAAAUAAGGAAACUAAAUACAAAAACAAAGAUUAGGAGACAUAUAAAUAUAGGAUAAUAUGAGCACAUCACGUAUGCGUCCAUGAAGCUCAAUAAUUCGAAUCCGGACCUGGAGUCCACCAGUUGGUCUAUGCGUGGGAGCGGGAAGCUAUCCUAUAGGCAUGCCUUGUUGAGAUUUGAAUAAUCCACGCACAUCCUUUAUUGUCCCAUUGACUUCUUUAGAACCAUGACCACAUUGGUUAGCCAUUGGGGGUAUCUAACUGUUAGCCAAAAUGCCACCCUCAAGUAUAAGGGGUACAAGCUAGGGUGUUAACCUUAAGAGAGCUCGAAUGUGCAAAUGUACAAUCACAAACCUAAACACACAAGGAAAUCUAGGCUCAUGGUGAGUAUAUGCAUUGUGGAAGUAGUGAUUUUAUUUUUGGGUUUUUGAAAUUGUGAACUAAACUAAACUAAAUGCUCAAAUGUAAACAAAAUUACUCUAAACUAAACUAGUGGUCUAAUGAAUGGUGUUAGGAUUCGAAUUGUCUACCACUAACCUCUCUUGCAAGUAUUGAUGUAAAUCAAUAUGAAUGAUGCUAAGCUAAUCAACCGAUCUCUCUCCUUGUAUCCUUUUCGGAUAUGACAAGGGACAUGCUCCUUUUGUGGUAUCAAGCAACCCCUCUCGGGUGUAGUAUUUAACUACUUAAGUCAUGCAUUUCAAUCCGGUUAGGCAUCUAAUGCAUUACUCUAAGUGCAUAAAGUUUGGAGAUGAAGAAAACUAUGCAAACCAACCAAACUUAUCUCUAAGUGAUUGUAAUUCACAACUCCUACAUGCACACCUAGUGUGCUUUCAUGCUUUAACAUUCAAAGGUUACCACGCUCUAAACAUUAUCAUGUCAUGGCAAACACACAUACUCAAAGUGGUAAAUUCUAAGCAUAUGCAUUCAACUCUUGAACUAGCAUGUAUGAAUGUUAACUAAAAUUGCAUUACAUCAUCAAUCAUACAAGAUUGGUUAGGGCUUUCAACCCUAACCCCAACAAAGUACUACUCACUCAUAAUUACAUAAACACUCCAUAAUCAAAUUAAACAUCAAAAUAGAUCUAGAGUUUAAGGGAGAGAGUUGAUUUAGUGGUGUGUUGAUUGAUCCCCAAGCUCACGUCUUGGUGGUGGUGGUGAUGGUGUGAUUCCCUCUCCUUCUUGCUCUUGAAGAUUUGAUGAUGAAAGGUAGUGAAGCUUGAUCUAUGCUUUGGGUGAAUAGGUGUAGUGGAUGAAGAAAAUGAUAGAGAAAAGAGAGAGGAGAAAUGGUGUAGUAGUGGUGGUGUUAAUGGAGGUUUGGGUAAGAGAUGGUGGUGGUGAUGGAGGAGAUGGAGUAGAUUGGGGGAGAAAGAGGAAGACGAUGAGUUUGGAUUUUGGGCGAAGGAGAUGGAGGUUUUUGUGGUGGAAAAAGAGAGAAAAAGGUGUUAUGGGUGAGUAGUGAAUGGGAGGAUGGGUGAAUGUUGUAUUGGAUAGAUGUAUGCUUAUUAUAUAGAAGAAAGAUAAGUGAAAAUGGGGGAAAGAGAGAGCCAAAACAGCCUCCUUCCCUAAUUCAACCGUAAGGGAGAGAAGGAAGAGUGUGAGAGUGUCCAUGAAUUGCCAAAAACAAGACAAAAAUGUAGGGAAAUGAUGACAUAGGUUAGAGUAGGCAAUGAUGAUGUUUAAAGCAUGAUGAAGUCUAUUAUCCAAGGAGUAAUAGAAUGAAUUUCAUGUUGUUACUCAAUCACCAUUAAUCUCCUUGUUCCUCCUUUAUGAUGACCGGAAAAGACAUGGCACCACCAAAAGUGGUGGUGAGCUGCCAUUUGUGCCGUCAAUAGUGAUGGUUCGCCGGAAUCCGACAAUUUACAUUUUGCUUCACAUUGGACCGUCAUUCUUUCUAGCUCCGAUUCUCCAUGUUAAUGCCAAAAAUGCAUGUUUUCAUCACUCUUGCAAUAUUCCUAAAUAAAUAGAAAAUGAUUUAGUGACAGCAAAAAUGAACUCAAAAACAAGGCAAAUUCAAUAUUUAGGGGAAUGAAAAUAGGGAGGGAAUCCCUAAAUGAAAAUAUUUAGGGCAAAUUCCUAGAUAACCCCGUGUAAAUUAUGGUCUAACACUAACCUCCCUUAUGAACUUGAUGUCUAUCAAUUUUUGCACUUCCCCCCUCAUUGCUUCAUACUUUUUUGGCUUAAACUUUCUUCGCUUUUGUCGCACGGGAGGGAAUCCCUUCUCGAUCCCCAGCUUGUGUGUUACGAUGCCACUUGAUAUUCCGAGCAUAUCUUUAUACAUCCAAGCAAAUGCCCCACUAUUUCUCGUCAGGAAUUCCACCAGGACCGUUCGUACACCAGGUGUCUGCCCUGUCCCGAUGGUCACUUGCCUGUCUAGGAACUCGUCUGAGAUCGACACCACUUCUGUUUCUUCCGCUAAUCCCGGACGUUCCUCGUUCGAGUCGGUAUCAUCUCUUGGAUCCACAUAAGGAUUCGAGGGGGAAGCUGCGGCAUGGCUUGCCGACAGAACCUCUGACAUUUUCCUUCCGUUGUCUAUCGCAUAACAACAUCGUGCCGCCCCCUGAUCUCCCUGGAUUGUGAUGACUCUCGUUGGGGUUGGGACCUUUAUCAUCAACAUGUGGCCGGCGACAAACGACUUUAGCUUCCAUAAAGCGGGCCUUCCCAAGAUCCCAUUGUAAGACGACUCACAGUCCACGAUGAUGAAUUCAACUGUCGCCCAUGCGACUCCCUCUCGGCCUUCCAUGCUUACUCCAAAGCUGUCAAAUCUGAGGGGCUGAACAACAUCGCCCGAGAAACUGAUCAACGGCUCAUGGUCUUGCAUCAACUUGUUAUUUCCUCGAUGCAAUCCUUUCCAGGCACUCAUGAAUAACACAUUGACUGAAGCUCCUGUGUCGACCAGGAUUUUCUUCGUGAUAUAGUGAUCGAGUUGCAAUGUUAUCAGGAAUGGAUCCUCGUACGGCCUUAGCCCCUCCUCUUCCUCUUCUAGGAAGGUAACAAACUUCCAACCAAUGGUUACUUGCUGAUUAUUACUGCUUUCGAAGGCGAAGACAUCCCGGCCAUCCCUCCUUCCCGUACACUGUUUUUUUGCCUUGUUGCUCCUAUUAUCUAUACGGGACUUGCCAUGGAUGGUGUUGAUCGUCCCAUAUACUUCAAUCGCCCCUACGUGCCUUUGCCCGAGCACAUACUGCUGCAAUUUUCCCUCUUUCACUCGGCUCUCUACCGCUCUCUUCAGCUUUAUGCAAUUAUUUAUGUGGUGGGUUGCCUCCCCGUGGUACCCACAAAAUUUUCCCGUGUCCUCUUUAGUGAGCCGAGAGGCAGGGAAUUUCUUGGCUGAGGGGGCCAAAUGACUGACUUAUUUUCGUUCCAUAUUGCCUCGUAGGUGGCGUUAAGUGCUGAGAAUUGCUCUUUGCCCGCCGGUGCCGCCCUCGCGUACUCCGUAAUCUGGUAAGGGCCCUUUGCCUUUACUUGUGCGUUAUAUUGCUUCCUUGCCUUCCUCCCGCUCGUUUCCUUGUGCCUCUUUCUAGAUGAGUACGAGUCCGACUCUCGUUCUCCCUUCCAGGCUCUAACCUCUUGGAUCACUUGCACCGGCGACCCACCUUCUCUCCCUUCGACCUUUCUUUUCCUGGUCGAGGUGCCCCCAUAAAUAUCAUGGUCCGCUUGUGCAUGCCUGAUCUCCAUUUCCAUAAGCUCGUCGUAGCCUUGCGGAUUUUCGAUCUUUACUGCAUACAAAAAUUUCCCGGGAAGCAACCCUUGAAUGAACGCCUCCUCUGCAACCUUUUUGUCAAAUUUUCUGACUCUGGUUGUGGCUCCUUGCCAGCGGUUCACAAAUGCUCUCAACUCCUCUCCCCUAUCCUGCUUUACUUUGAACAAUUGGGUGGUGUUCUGCCCAUCCGUCCGUAGAAUGAACCUAUUGACAAACCUGUCAGCCAGCUCCCGGAAGCAGUCAACCGAGUUCGACGGGAGCUCGUAGAACCAACUAAGCGCUUCCCCUGUUAAGGUUUCCUAGAACAUGUUGCAGCAUAUUGCAUCAGAGUAUCCUUUAGCGUUCAUGUGAGACUUGAAACUAUCAAGGAAAAGAUGGGGGUCACGAUCCCCAUUGUAGCUAAGUUUUAAUUGCUUGGCUGUGUUCGAUCGGACGGACUAGGUGAUCGCUCUUGUGAACGGUCCCUGUCUUUCUUCGAAACUCGCACGGGUUGGAUUGCGUGUCCACCUUCUCUCGGCGUCCGAGAUUCUGUCAGCUAAACUCGCCACGCUAUCCCGAAUAGCUCUUAGGGUUUCUUCCAUCUCUCCCGGUCUUCUAACUUGGACUUUUGGGAUUGGCUCGGGCAAGGGCGGCGGUCCCUCAUCCCGCAUUUCAUCCGGGAACAAAUUCGUCCCUAUAUGCACGGUCCUACGAUUCGUUCCCACCGGAGCGCCCAUCUGCUACAACGUGGCCGCCCGAUCCAACGCCUCCUAGUGCUCAACCCCUCGAGCCAGCGCUCAUGGCUGCGUUAUCCUUUUCUAACCUGCGUCCCUCCCGGUGGCUUCUACUCGAUCCUUGACAGUUUGUUGCUCCAGUUGAGUGAUUUGGGCCCUCAUAUCUUCCAACAUCUCGACUACCUCUUAGGGAUUGAGAUCUCGCAGUACAUACUCUGGUGUUUCAUCCUGCAAGGUUCUCCCAGUGAUUCUUGAACUUCCCCUUGUUGUUUCUGGGGUCCUUCCGAAUAUUACCUCCCUCUGCUCUUCCCGUCCUGCAUCCUGCUCUUACUGCUCGGUUAACUCAACCAUCGAGUCACGCUGACUUUUUGUAAAGGUUCCCACAGGAGUCACGCUGACUUUUUGUAAAAGUUCCCACAGACGGCGCCAAAUGUUUCUGUACAAUCCUGAAUAGGGCUGCAGAAGCUGAUAGCGUGUCCGUUGGGUGGUAAACUAUUUUCUCGUUGACCUAUAAGCACAAGGAUGACCGGGGGCUUUCGGUCUUUCCUCCUCCGAUGAUUAAGUCAGUCUCUAUUGGUUGAAUGUAAUUACUAGGGUAGUUAUUGAUACCUGACAAGCUGAUGGCUGGGCCAUAUUUAUGGCCUAGAGUGGGUUCUCUUUACUAGAAAACCGAUGUGAGACAACUGUCUUUGCUGUUACUUCAAAUUAACACCCAGCUCCCUUAUGCCUUCUGAAACCGUUCCCGGCCCAAUGCUGUCACCGAAGUCGGGCCCGGCCCAUCUUACACAUGGAUGGGAACCCUAGGGCGGCCUCGGUUGUUUUGAUCAUAGUGGGAUACUUGCUGGUUUACGGGCUUGGGAGGUUGUUUUAUGCACAACCGACUACAGAUAUCCAAAGCAAACUAUCGAUGCCAAGAGAAAUGUCAGAACAUAUAUGCAUGUUAAAGACUCAGAAAUCUUUAAUUUUAAGCAAAUUAAAACUCUCUGUUGCCCAAAGGCAAUAAAUGAAAUUCUUCUUCUACGAAUUUUUCUAGUCAUCUAGAUGUAGAUGUUAAAUGAUGUGAAUUGGAGAUGUUUAAAAAGAGGGUGCAUUGCAAUUAAGUAAACAUAAACGUCUUAACUUAGUACUGUAAUUAAUAAAAGGAACAUAAUCCUUUGAAUGAAAAAAAAAAAAAAAAAAAAAAAGGGAAAGGGGGAACAUAAAAACAAUGUUGAUAGUAAAACAAAAAAAACAAAAAACAAUGUUGAUAGUUACUGAACAAAAUAGAUCAUCUAGGGACUUAGCAGAAAUAAUUCCAAGUCAUCAGACUCCUUCUCCUGGAAAAUAACUAUGGCAUCGGAGAUGAUCCUGGUUCUUUUUACCUUUGCCAUGAAACCUAUAUGAUGGGGUAACUCCGGAGAAUAUAUAAUGGUCAUUUUCUUCAAAUACUGAGCAUGCUCUAGAAAAUACCAGGCUAAAUAGAGUCCGUUGGAACCGUUGGUGAUCUCUAGGGUUACCUCCUUCAACUGAGAAAUAAAUUCAAGACCUUGGAGCUCCCAAUAUCCUCUAGAAAAUCCAAAGGCCUGCAGAAUUUUGAAACAAAAAAUCAAGGCCAACAAAACUACCAAUUUUUAUUUAUCAAAAUAUGUAGAAAGAAACAACAACUAGAUUGGUGAAUAAAAGAAGAAAGGAGAGUAAAAAUGAACCAUGUACAAGUUUACUCAAACUCACUUACAUCAAUGCCACUGUAAAAUGAGGCUAACUUGGAUGAUAUACCCAAAGUGUUCAACUUAUUAGGCACUUUUUUGAGUAUAGUUGCCAACUUCGGGACUACAUUGCCAUCGAUACCUCUAAGAAUACUCACACGCAAACACAAAAUAUUCGGUGGGAACCCAUGCACGAACAUAACCUACAAAAUUAUAAUGUCACAAGGGGGCAAAACCAUAAUUCUUAAAAUUAAGUUGAGAAUGAAACAAUCUAGUCAAUCUAAAAGAAUAAAAAAUAUCUAGUAAACAAAUUUAAAACACCAUGUCUUCUAGGAUUUUCGAAUCUUUUUCUCUGUAUUUUUCCAAAUCAGAAAAUAGAAACUGAGGAAAAUAGUGUGUAUUUAGUGUGUGUGUGUGUGAUGUCUUUUUACCUUUGCAGUUAAGGAAUCCAAAAUAGGAACACUAACACUGCGUAUGCUGCAUAGUAAUUGAUCGCGGACUGUACGGAAUUCAAUUGAUCCACAAUAACUACAAGGACUACAAGAAAGCUCCAUUUCAUCCAAGCAACAUAAUUUCCCCAUGUAGAGAUUUUUCAUCAAAACCCCGCCAACCCAUCUCAAACGCUUAAGAUUUGGAGCUGAAAGUUUCAAUUCAUCUCCAUAAGGUGAUGAACAUCAUCACUCUAUUUGUAUACCUUCAAGUUUAUCACCAGAUAUAUCGAGGUGACAAACAGAGCCACAACAUUCAAUACUAAAUGAUUCCAUGGACGAACUUUGAAUGAUAACAUUUCUUAACCCAGAAACAUUUCUCAGCAGCAAUUCCUUAAUAAAUCUGCAGGAGACUGAGACCCAUUUGCAGAACUUUGUAUCAUCUUGUAUAGUAACAUUUGUUAACUUCAAGCACAUAAUAUUAGAUAUGGAAGAUAGAGAGGAGGGAGUUCUAACAACCGCAGAGGUCAUGUCCACAAUUAAAGACGUCAAAGACUCACAAUCAAAGACACAAGCAGGGAACUUUAUUGUGGUUUUCCGAAUAUUCCCACGAGAAUCCCUUAAUUUCACAGGUUUAACGAAAACAUUAAGAGAUUGGACAUCAAAACUCACUGUUUUUCGAAUCAAACCCAAAACUCGAGAUUUCUCAACAGCGUAGGACCUUGCUGAUUCGUAUUCUCCUCUUUGAUCUUCACAAACCCAAUUAAUUGAAAAGGUUUGAAUCUUGUUAUUCCCGCGAUGGAUGAAGAACUGGUCCAAGGAAUCCAACAACUCCAUGCGCUUAUGAAAUGAGCGUCUGAACUGGGGUGGAAGAUCAGUGAAAUUGAAAAUGGGGGAUUUGAUAGAUGAAAGGCUCUGCAUCCUUUGGACAAGGUUCCUACUCGAGCAACGUCGGCCAGGGGAAAAGGGGACAGAAUCCGAUGAGCAACAUCGGUGGGAAGAGCACUGAAUCUGUCCAACUCUGCCCUAACCCGAUCAGCAGAAGGUUCCAUGGAGACAGAGCCGCAAAGGUGACAACUGCUUAGAAAUGUUGGUCUAAAAAGCUUGCAAUAUUGGUGUAGGUUGAUAUCACCAUGGUAAUAAAAUUUACGUCAUCAAAACCUCAUCAAGUUUGUAAUUUUUUUCCCCCAAGUUUCCUAAUGAGAAACGUCAAACCUCAAUUUCUAUUUUUUUUAACAAUAUGAUCAUAUAAAACAUUGGCUUGUUGUAAUAAGGAUGGCGUUGCAAAUCUCUAGCAAUAGGCAUGUGAUGUACGUGUCUUUUAGUCAUUGAUGACAAAAUAAAAUUACGUACAAUUACUUAAAGAAAUAAAAAGGAUGGUGUCGCCCAAUUGGUAACACCAUAAUGCUAUAAAAUUAAUCAUCAUAGAGCUCAUAGUAAGAAAUCUUGAUUUUAUGUCAUGCAUUAUGAGUUAAUUAGUGGAUAAGAGUAAUUAGACCAUGCAUAAAUCUUAGUACGUCUACGAACAAUAAAUAUGUCAUCACUCUAGAUAAAAAUGUUUUUCAUCUUCAAAUAUUCUUACAUAGGGCAAGCGCACCACGUGAUAUAUAGGGAAAACAUUAUUUAAGAAAUGCAACUUACAAAAUCGCUCGACUAACCGAGGUACAACUGCUUCCUACAUCGUAUACAACUCAUCCUGCUUUUGCGGGAAGAUUAAUGAAUACGUGAAAGAAACCGGUUAUUGUAAACUAAAAAGAUAAUAAUUAUGUGGGAGCUUUUAAUACUUUCAUCAAAAGUGGAUGGUCUAGAAAAGAAUUUAUUUCAUCAAGAUAUAAAGAUAGUCAAUUUAGGAGCUGCUCUCAUUCUAAAAUCUUAAAAAAUCGUAAUGAUUCAAAUCUGAGAAGCUCUGACUCUUCGGCUAUCCAGUAUCGAAAACCCUAACGAUGACGUUAGAGCCAUGGUCUGAUUCUGACCAGAGCUCUUGUUGGUUUCUCAAACCCAAGAACUACGGCGAGUGAGUGGUGUGGAGCCAGUGGCAGUGGUCUUCAAAUACGUGGAGGACGACACGAUUUUGGCUAAAGAAGGCGACUUGGUCGAAGGUGAGAGUCGCGGAGAACCUUGUGGGAUACGAUGUCGUAUAAGUGGAUAAUUUGAGGCAGGUCACAAUUUAUACGUCGUAUGGGUCGUAUAGGUGUGUUAUUAAGGUCAUCUUCAAUUGAUGUGCUAAAGUGCUAAAUAGUGAGAUUAUAGCACAAACUCAUCUUCAACCGAUGAGCUAAAAUGUAAAAGAGCUAAAAAAAAGAACUAAAGUGCGAUCCUAAGAGCUAAAUUUGACUCAUUGAAUGACUCUUUAGCACAAUCCAUGACAAGACCCACCCCGAAUUUCACCCUGAAACCUGGAGUAAGUCGUGCGGGGACCACCUCCAAGGAAAAUUUACCGAAAAAUCGGCAUAACCUCUCUUGAAAAUGGACAACCCUUCCUAAUAAUAAUACCUGCAUGCACUUCAAAAGAAUCCAUUUAUAAUCCUCUACUCCUGGAGCCUUCGUGCUCCCCAAAUCACAACACCACCCAAAAAAAUUUACUAAUCUAAACAAAUCUCACAUCCAACCAUUUAUAGGUUCAGAGCAACUCUAACAGGAAGAAAUGAAACAAAAUAAAUUAACAAGCGGAAGCUAUAGGAUGACUAUGCCUCAUCUCCAUGUACGCCCGACCUCGACUAAGCUAACCUGCAAGCUGGGCAUUUUUAAAACGAAAGGCCCAAGGGAAAACACUUAACAACGUUAGAGUGAGUGGACAAAAAUAAAUUAAUAAAAAUAUUUAUGCUUCCCCAUUUUAAUUUCCAAAGAAAAUAUACUGCAUGCGGCAGCUCAAAAGCGCUCAACACAAAAACUGGAAAUUUCAUGACUAGCUCCAGCUAGUCUCCAUAACUCAAAGAAAUACAGCCUCUUAGGCUAAACUAUAUAUAAACAUAUAUAAGUGUAUGUAUUUACACUCGUCAGACUCCUUAUAUGAAUUCUAAGAACAAAUUAGAAAAAUAGAAAUUCAUACAAGGCUACUACGCUUGCGUCUAACGCUCACGUCACACCAUAAUGGAAUUGUACCUCAGUAUGGCGGAAAAAGCACGAGUGUAUAUACGUGUGGACUCCCUAUAUGAAAACCUAAAUAAACCAAAUAAGAAAAUAGUUUUCAUAUAGGGCUACUAUGCUUGUGUCUAACACUCACGUCACACCAUAAUGGUAUUUUACCUCAUUAUGGCGGAUCAAACACGUAUGGCUAGCUAGCAUUUACAUAUACAUACUAUCAUCAUAAACAUCCAAUAAACAUAUCCACCGAAAAUCUCAUUUUCGGGAUCUCUCCAAAGGAGGAAAAUUGCCAAAUAUCCGAGAAAUAAAUAAAUCUCAGGAAAAGAAAUAAAUGAUCAACAGAUAAUUCAUCGCAUGCUUUUCAAUUAAAAUAAAGGUCCACUCACAACUCUAGGCAUAAGCCUGACAAAAUCCAAAUCGCCACUCCAACGAGGUUUCCUCGAACCCUGGCACAAAUAUAUAAUUAAAUUCCCAACUAAAAUCCAAUAUUUAAACAAAAUAGGCAAAAUUAAAUAUGAGCCGCAACCACGUACGCUCAUCCUUGCCCAACUUCGCCUUUCCUAAAACGAAACGAUCCAACUUUAAUACCAUAAACGGCAGCCGUAAUUACAACCUCCCAAAAAAUACGACUUAAAUCCUACGGCCGGAUUCUACAUUAAUUAACCGCAAAAAAUACCACACUUUGGAAAUUCAUAAACCUAUCCAAAACUCAUCCAAAAAUUCCAUAACUCACUUCAACAAACUCCCCUUAAUAUUCUAAAUUUAAAACCCUAAAAAUCUUCCAAACAGUGGCGGCGCCGGCGGCAGCUCCGCCGGCAGCGGCGGUCGGAGGCCGAUUUCGGCGACCUCCAAUGCCUAUGAAAUUUUUACAGAAUAAACCUCUCAUCAUGCUCUACAACUUUCCUAACUAGCACAAACACCAAUUCCAAGCCUAACUAGGGUAAUUGACUAAAAACAUCAAAAACGCUCUAGAAUUUCAACUUCACCUUUCUCCUUACCUAGCUCAAGAGAGGGUGAGCUGUUUGGAGGGGUUGCUGCACGGGAGGAGGGCUACAAAACGAGCCAAGGAUCGCCGGUUUUGGUGGCCGAAGGAGGGAGUUCCGACGACCGGAAGUUCUAGGCAGUCGAACCUCUCGAGCGGCAACGCUCUCUCACGGCGGCGCUAGGGAUCCUCUCACCGGUCCAGGAAGAAGGCUGGGUCGACGGCCGUCCGUUUGGGACCGGCCCGGUGGUCAGAGGCGACCAGACGAGGGCGAACGGCCGGGAAGAAAAUCCGGCGAAGGGAGAGGGAGAGAGAAUCGGGAGGGAGGAGAGAGAAGAGAAAGGAUUUGGGCUUUUCCCGAACCGGUCCAACACCAUCACUUAAAACCCAACUCUAAAAUUUAACACCCUAAAAUAAUACCCUAAUCAAAAUUACCUUUUACUAGCUAAAAUUUUACCAUUUUUACCGUCGUCAUAAUUUUCUCCUACGAAUAAUCCUCCGCAUAUAAUCGUCCCCGAAACCCCUCUAGGGACCAAUUAAACUAUUUCCUCAAUGACGAAGACGGUAAAAUUCUUAUUAUAACCAAGCUAGUAAAUAAGGUAAAAAUUUAAGGGUCGGGAUGUGACAAUCCAUG